rnacentral:lncRNA from 1 species
UUUACCGUAGUUGUCGAACCUGUAAUGACAAUAGUGAAGAGUGAUUUCGUAAGUCAAAUAAUUGAAUGACUUUUCUGAGAUAAUUACUACCUGCGUUUAGUUUUUUCAAUAGUGGCAUUGAUAGCAAGUGCAGGGGCGCUAUCAGGUGAGUAAAGCUUCAAAGAAUUCUGAAGCUUCUUGAUUUGUUGCUUCUCCCUUUUAGCAAACUGUUUUGAAUCCUUGCAAGGUGUGAGACCUGAGAUGUCAGCAGAAGCUGGAAGAACGGGUGCUGACAAUAGAAUAGAAGACAAAGCAAGCGCGGCAGAGAAUGCCUUUAAUGAUGAAGAACUUUCCUCUGUUGAAUUAGAAACAGGGGUCUGGUUUGAAGAACACACAAUGGAUGAAGUUCUUUGUUUUGUGGUAAAUUGAGACCCAAAUUUAGAUGUUGAAAUGGGUUUUGAAAGGUUUGAAGGAAUAGUAAGAGACAUGGUAUUUUUUUUUUCUGUUUAUUUUUUCAAGAAAACAGAGGAAGAUUGGAGUGUGGAGAGUGAAAGGAUGUUUUUUUUAGGAUUUGUGGAAGAAAGGAUUGGUGAUCAAGAGAGAGGAUAAGGAGUUGAAAGGGAGCUUAGGUGGAGGGAUUUGAUUGGCUAAUAGAGUUGGAUUUUAUGAGUUUUGGGGAUUUUUUGAUCCAUCUGUGGAAGAGCAAGAACCAGGGAUUUAACAGAUACAUAUAUUAUGAUUUGGGUCAGGUACACUUUUGCCACACUAUUUUGGGAUAGUUUUUAAUUUUUGUCCCUCAGCGAUAAAUAAUUCUUUGCAAUGUAUAAGUUUAUUAUUUCGUAUCAGAAUAUCUCCGUACAUGACUUCAGUUUUUGAAUCUACUAGAUAUAAGUUCUAUUUAUUUGAAGAGCAGAAUUAAUAGAUCAAUCUAUUUGAAAGACAAAACGUACAAUUUUAUGGUUUUGAGAUAACAGGCCAUGCACUUCAUGGCAUAUUUCCAUAUGGAUUUAAAUGUAAACUAGUCCAACAGCUUCAAUGAGCCCGUGUGUUCGAAUGAAAUUUUGAAUUUGCAUAUCUAUGUGCACACCUUGAUCUCUAUGCUGGUAAAAUUAUGGUCAUGAAGAAGCAUACUGGAUUACGGAUUUAUGUUUCCAUUAUUGAGCCAAGUAGUUAGGUGAAUUGUAGGCCAUUAACACAUCAAGUUUUGACAUAAAUAAAAUUCUCUGAAUUUUCCAGUUCAUUAGAGUGGGGCAAGUUAUUGUCAUGUAAAAGCUCUCCAUGUAGCCAAUGUCAUCUUCAAUGAUACUUGUUUAUGCCAUAUUUUUUGUAUCCAUAGACCAUACUUGAUUCUUCUCUUCUUUCGUUUUACGACCUCUCAUGUGUUUUUUGGUGCUACCAUAUGCACUUUGGACUGUGGUUGGAAACUCCGCUUCUGUCAUAUCACACUGUAAAGUACCUCGUUAAGCAGGAUAUUUCGGUUUUGCACCAUCAGGUAAAUGACUACAGAGGACAAAGGGGCUCAAUUUUUGUUCAGUUGGCAUACUAGAGUGAUAUAUUCCCUUUCCAGGCUUACAUACAAUAUUUUCCUUAACAUAGAGGUUUAUCUCACACAGGACUCUCCAGCCGCGUGACAGACCUGAAUUAUGCACACCACUACUUGUAGAUCUGAUUACUUUUCAUGGAUCAUUCAUGGGAAAUAUUUUUGGGGUGGCAUUGAUAGUUGCGCAUAGAAACCUCUAUCUACUGUGAUACAAUAUUGAAAUGAACGACUCAACUUAUGAAAUCGUGAGAACAAUUUCCAAACAAAAAGAACAUUAAACAGCGAACUAGCCAUUAUCUAGCAACACAUGGUAUAGAGAAUUCACAAUCUUUCAUCGAUAUAAACAAGUGAAAGUAUAAUUCCACGAGUCUCCAACAAGAGAAAUUUAAACAAGGGUAAUCAAAAAUUAGACAUUAGGGUCAAUAAGGUCUCCGUUCAAGUACUCUCUGUAAGCAGCAACAGGCCAGAUGAAGCCUCUCCACACGAGUCUAUUAGCCAAUGGAACAUCGAUGAUGAUCUCCUUCAUUGUUGGUUUCUUUUCAUCUCUUACGGCAAUCAAGUAACUCCUUCCUACCCAUCCAAUCCAUCCAGCAAUGUACAAGAAGAGGAUCCCUGGAGUGAUGAACUCACCCCAGUGCCUCUGGUCACCACUCACUAUCAAAUGCGGUAGUCCAUCUGAUCCACACAACAGUCCUUGCUUUCCAUAGUUGUCAAACCUGCAAUGACAUUAGUUGAGUGACGUUCUGAUGAAUUAAACUUCUACUAACUCGAGUAUCAAAGGGUAUAUGUAUGUUCUAUUUUUGGAUGUUUCCUAGUCUAAUCUCAACGGCAUAUGCAAGGAAAAGUUGAACAAUCUGCUUUUCUUUGAUAAGCAAAUGUUAAUGUACAGUAUGCUUUCAUUCGUAAAAGAAUACUUUUAGCUCUUCUUCUACUCCUACUCCUAACAUGGGUUCGAACGAAUUCAGUAGCUUUUCCAUAGACCCUAUAUUUGUACUAUGUAUUUUAAUUUGUAAACCCCUAACAAAAUUGAUUAGAAUCCCAAAAUCUUAAUAUAAGUACUCUCUAUCUAGUACACAAUAAAAAAAUGAUCAACUAGGGAAAAUAGGCAAAUAAGAAGUAAAACUUUUUGAAAAUUGUGAAGAAAGAUACUGAAGGCAAACCUGCGUUUAGUUUUCUCAAUAGUGGCAUUGAUAGCAAGUGCAGGGGCGCUAUCAGGUGCAUAAAGUUUCAAAGAAUUUUGAAGCUUCUUGAUCUGUUGCUUCUCCCUUUUAGCAAACUGUUUUGAGUCCUUGCAAGGUGUAAGCCCAGAGAUGUCAGCAGAAGCUGGAAGAACUGGUGCUGACAAAAGAAUAGAAGACAAAGCAAGUGCUGCAGAGAAUGCCUUUAAUGAAGAAGAACUUUCCUCUGUUGAAUUAGAAACAGGGGUUUGGUUUGAACAACACACAAUGGCUGAAGUUCUUUGUUUUGUGGUAAAUUGAGACCCAAAUUUAGAUGUGGAAAUGGGUUUUGAAAGGCUUGUUGGAAUAGUUAGAGACAUGGUGUUCUUUCUAAGAGUAUUAUUUUUCAAGAAAAUGAUACAAAGAAGAAGAAGAAGGAAGAGAUGGUUUUUAGAAUUUGUGAGUGAUCAAGGGAGAGGAUAAGGAGCUGAAAAGGGAGCUUAGGUGGAGUGAUUUCAUUGGAUAACAAAAUUGGAUUUUGUGAGUUUCAGAGAUUUUAUGAAAUUUUUAUCUAUCUGUGGAACAACAACAACCACGGAUUACAGAUACUCAUAUUUUCGCGUGGCCACCACAUAGGUAAAGAGAACUCUUGAAUGAAUAAUUAUUAAUAAUAUAUAUAUUAAACAAACAUUUACUAUUUUACACGAUAAUUAAGAAAUUAUUAGUGAUAGUUUGAUCAACUUUGUAAUUAAGGGAUCAAUCACCAUGCUCUGAUGCCAAUGAAAGAUUUAAUAUUAAUUUUUUUUCCAUCAGAAUUCUUUCAAAUAUUAGAAAGAAGCCAUAUUAAUUGUAGGGGGAAAUGAGAAAAAAAUUAAUUAAAUUUAACCUAAUUUAGUAAGUAAUCAAGUAAUAUGAGAUAAUUAUUUUUAGUAAGACAACCAUCUAACAUACAAAAGAGAGAGUAUCUUUUAUCAAGUUUUUCAAAUAUAUAAAUUUUAUUUCGAGAUUCUGUUAACAAGUUUAAAUCUUGAAAGGUGGAAAAAAUAACAUAUAAUUGAAAUGGAGCGUAGUACUUUUUACCUUUUGUGAUUUUUAUACGUGAAUAUCUCAGAAGGACAUAUUUAGAACUACUAACAUUCAUAUAUACUUUCAUGUCCCAAUUUAUAUGAUUUAUUUUGUUUUUUAUUCAAUUUUAAAAAAGAAUGACACAUUUCUAUCUUUACUAACAAUUUAUUUUUAAAAUGCUCAUGUUAUCUUUAAAUAAAUAAUUUCUAGCUACAUAAAUAUAUUUGACUUAUUUUAAACCACAAAUUUCAAGUCUUUCUUCUUUUGUUUCUUAAAUUUUGUGUCAAAUUAAAUGAACUCAUAAAAAUUGAGACGAAAGGUUCUAGCGAUAUUUGGAGAGAGAGGCGAGAGGACAUACAAGUAAUUGGAAAGCAAAACCCAAUCUAAAAAAAGACUGCAAGACAUUUGCAUUAUAUAGUUAUUAAGAAAGUCAAAACAAGAAGUUCAGAACUAGUAGAGUUAAAGAAUAAUCAAAGAAAAAGUAGUUUAGGUUAAGCAGAAUUAAGUCAUAAAGACACUUUGUUCACAAAAAGGAGGUCAGCAGACAAGCAAUUAUCUCUAACAUAUUAUUACAAUAUGCAGAGUUGUUGGUCUCUAAAAGAAUCUGAUAUGCAAAUGAUCCUUGAAGAACUAAAAGAAACAAAUAAAUGGAACCAAAAAACAAAAAGUAUAGCAGAGUCAAAUGCCACAGAAUUUGAUCACUAAAAGAGUGGUGCUGUGUUCAAUUGCCUAUCACACUGAGAACGAAUGAGGUCAGAAAUGUUUGCUAGGAUGGUGGAGGAGGUAAGUUGCUUGACUUGUUGGGGCGCGGAACUUGUUCAGAUCGAUUAACAAGACUUAGGUUCUGUGACUUUGAGAUCAUGCUGACCAUAGAUGGAGUUUCAUACAUGGUGGCGCCACUAUUGCUUGAGCUACCACCUUGCAGUAAUAUUUGUGAUGUCGUGUCUCCUCUAGUUGUCGCUCUUUGCCAAGAAUGUGAGCUCAAACCUGAGAGGACGUAAGCUCGUCCAGUUUGUUCAUAGCGCUCCCUGCUUACCAUCCUCUCUCUGACUUCAGUCAGUUCCGUCUCAAGCCAGCUACAGAGAGCAUCGCCUGCUUGAGCAGAUACAGAAGACAGAAGGGUCGCUCUUCGGUUAGUUAGCGCGGCUUGAGCAGCCUCAAGAUUUCCCAUUUCUGCCAAUCGUUGUGCCUCUGCAAUGGUUUCUGCUACUGCCAGCCUGUUUAUCUGCCUAUCAACCUCUCGACUUAUUACCACAUCUGUAGGAGACAGCACUGGUGGCCGACGUAUCUCAACUGUUUCACCCUCCACACUGACCAUUUCUUCCGAUAUGGUAUUCUUGUAACUACAUGUAAUUUGCAACAGAGAUGUCUUUGUUGCGCCUUGCUCAAUUUCAGCUGAGGGAACAGACAAGUAGACAAGGAAUUCUUUUUCCUCAUCUGCAUACAGGUUCCCAAUGUUUAUUACCCCUUGCUUUCCCUGUUCAGAAAUUUCACUAGCAUAUCUUCCUGAAGGGAUGGAUCCAAUUUCUACUCCACGUGAUGCUGACCGAACAGUAAGCUUGAGUUCCUGGACUACAACACUGAGGAGACCACCAAUACACAUUGCAAAGGCAUCUUGAACAGUACCAACAGUCUCAAUGAACGAAAAUGUACCACCCGAUGCAUCUGAGAUAGCAUGCAUAGCAGAGGAAUCAUGGUCUAAACCAAAUCCAAACGUAUGUACAUGGAAAGUUGGCUGCUGUCCUGCUGCUAGUCCUUCUCUAUUGCGAGGACAAAUGGAAGAAGGCAAUAGAUUCAGAAAGUCGGGACCUGAGGUUGCAUUAGAGGAUCUGCGGUUCCGAGGACUCCGCCGUUGGUUGGCGAUAUCACCGUUAAAGGUGUCUCUCCCAUCUGACAAGAGAAUAAUGCUUGCAACUGGGUUCCUUUCACGUCUUUCUUCAAGAACCCGAACCCCCUUCUUGAGUCCUUCCACGAUAUUUGUGCCACCAUUUGCUGAAAUGGCAUUGACAGCCUGUGCAGCCUCUCUACGCCCUUGUUCUGUCAUCCUUCGCAAGGGAAAGUUUCUUUGAGCUCCUGAUGAAAAGGUAACAAUAGAUAGCCGGUCAGAAGGACCCAAGUUAUCUAUGACAAAACAAACUGCUUGUUUCAAGAGAGUCAAUUUUGAUCCAGCCAUGCUGCCACUAAUAUCUAGAACUGUGACCAGGUCAAUAGGUGCUCGCUCUUGGUGCCGAACAUCAUCAGCAAGUGGAGGUGCCUUUACUCCAACAAGAACAGCAAAUCUUGACAUACUUCCAGAAGCAGCAACUGCAGAAUAUUCAGGAAAAGCUUUCAAGACAGCAGUCUCUGGAUGAACAGAGGAAGGGGAGGGGGUCUGAUCCACAGUGAUGCUUGGAAGAGGUUCAUCAUCAGAGAAGUGAAGGGGCUCAGGAAGGGGCAGAGAAACGGGUGGUGGAACACGAGGAAUGUUGUCAAGGAAAUUAUCUUCAAGUGGAGAGACACGAGUCCGCCCAGCAUUAUUAGUGUUUACAUCAGUACUGAAGGACGACAUGAGAGGGAUCUCUUUCCAUUUGCAUCUGCAGAUGGGGCAGAGAUAAUUUCCAUGCUUAACACUGUUGGCAAUGCAGCUGAAAUGGAAUGAGUGGGCGCAUUCAGCAGUGAAUAUGGCCUGACCAUUCCCUGCUUUCAUACUCCCAAGGCAAAUGGCACAUGUUCGCUACAGUCACAAUAAAAUAGAGUGGCAAGUUACAGUUAGAAUAUUGAAAUCAGUACAUAAAUAUGUAACAUGCUCAAUGAGGCAAAUACAUAAUCACAUGUGCUGAAUCACUUCUCAUUUAACUUAAGAAAAACUUUGACACUUUAAGUAUAUCCACUCCACCGAGCAAUUGCAACCUUUGCCACCAGUGUGACAUUCAUGGUUAAAACAGUAGAAAAUAUUUUCAAUAAUCAAAAAGCAUCUAGAGCCCUUGGGCACAUAUCAUUUCAAGUCACAAAAAAUGAGAACAUGGACUUCAUUGACUAACUAGUCAUUGUUAAAAUAAGCUAUUAGAGUCAUUGAUUAUAAGGUACCAAAACUUAAAGAAAUAUUGACUGAAAUAACAUAAAUUGUUUAAACAGUAAGGAUUUGUGAAUAAAAUGUACUUGAGGUCAUCUAGAAAAAAUUUGCCAAAACGAAGUACUGAUUAAAAACUACUGAAUUAUUAAUCUUAUGCAUUUCACAAACAUAAUUUAGUAGAAAACAGUAAGCAAAAGUUCGCUGUAUGGAACUCAUCACCUCUUUGUGAAAACAACCACUCGUGACUUUUCUAGGGAAUCAUUAUUCAAUGAUAACAUUGUAAAUAAAUCAAACAACUAUGGUCUUAAUCUCAAAUUACUUCAAGACAAGUAUUGAUGAUAACAGUUAUGUGCAUGCAAUACAAUUGCAUAGGGUUAGGAUGAGUUAAUUGAGAAAACAACUAUUAAUAAAUUGCGCAUUAAAAUGUAUAGACCACCAAGUCCAUAUGGAGUACGUUUACUAAUCCACAAACAACUAAACUAGCAAUAACCGUUUCAAAAUCUAUACAAACCAACAUACAAGUCCAAGUAACUUUGUUCAAGUAUAGCUCCAAAUCAAGGCCUAUUAAACUAGCAAAUUUACUUUUCAAUUAAAAAGAAAAAAGCCAAACAACCAUCCCAUGGACACAAUUUAUAUGACAAUCUUUCCUUUUAGACAGGUAUAGAGGAUUUAUGACUUAUUCAUGCCUUUCAUACUUAAAAUUCGUGGUUAAUCAAACGUGUUCACAUAAAUUGGGACAGACGCAAUAUAUAAGAAGCAAACACGUAAUGUAUAGGAAAAUAAUCUUCUUAUAGGUAGCAAAAGUCAAUUAUAGAUACGUUUAAGCUAUCAUCAAUUAUAAUACUAGAUUUCAGAAAUGGUCCAACGACAUGGACAGAACACAUAGCUGGCGUAGGAAGAUGUCAAAAAUAUCUUAACAAACAAUAAAAAAGAUCUCCAAUUUGUCAAAAGCUGAAAUCAUCAUAAUUCCCAGCUAACCCAUAGAUUAAAUUAUUAAAAUAAAAUUAUUAGCAAGUGUUAAACAUUCAUUAGUACUUUAAAAUUAAUAGUAGUUGUACACUAGGUGCCAUUUUUUUUUUAUUAAUAGUAGAAAAAGGUAUUUUUCAAAAAGUCAAAACUUUAGAAAAAAAGGCCCUGCACGGAAAGCCAAGAAAUGUAAUCUUUUUCAGCUUGUGAAAAUUACCUUUUUGACCUCCAGAAGAAGGCGUUGAUACCAAAGUAGAGGACAGUAUAGUAAUUUACACAUACAUUUCGUCAUCUAAAACCUUGUAAAGCUGAAUUUCCAUUAGUUUAAUCACUGAUUAAGAUCAAGCCAAACAAACGUGAUAAAUUAAAAAGUGAAUUUCCAAUAUUACCCUUGUUACAGAUCCCCAAAUAACGUGAGAAACCGUAAAUUUAGCAAAAACAGGUAGGUAUUUUCGUCCAGAAAAAUUCUCCUCCUAUUCCAUUUUUGGCAAACCAGAAAUUUCUGCUCACCGUUCGCGAUGGUAAGAUAACAGCUGUCAUCACCGGUGAUGAAAAUUGAAAACGCAACCGACUUCCGGUCCGGUCGAAUCACAUAGAUAGCAAACCAAACACGCCGGCGAAACCAAAAUCAAGAAAUUACAACCGAAAAAACAGAAAAAAAUUCCGAAAAGAAAACGAACCUUAGAGGAUCGGGAGGUACUACUGAAACUUCUGGAUAAACGGGAGAAAGUGGAUGAAGAUGCGGCGGAGGACGGCCGAGUAGACGGUGGCGAUUUGGCAUCGGAGGAUGCAUUUUCUGGAGGAGAUUUAGGUUGCCUAAAUGAAAGCGCUUUUUGGAGUUUGCUCCAUGAACCUGACAUUCUUUCUUUCAGCUCCUUCAACAGAAAGAGAGAGAGAGAGAGAGUAGAGAGAGAGGGGGAAUUGAUGUUAGGGUUUGGGUUUUGUAAAAUGGAAGAAAAAGUAACGAACGUGAAUUUGGAGAAGAAGAGAUGGAAGAGGAGAGGAAAAAAACAAGAAAAAUUUAAGAUUUUGAAAAUGAUUAAUAUAAUUUUAUCUCUUCUUAAAAAAAUAUAAAUGAAAAGGGCAAGUAUGAUUACGGGCUAAUUUCAUUUAAUUACUCCUUCCGUUUUAUUUUUCUUCAUCCUAUAAGUAAAAUAAAUAUUUUGUUUUACUUGUUAGCACAUCACAAAAGGUUUUUCCUUUUUUUUUUUUUCGUAUUACCUUUGGGUUCCCAUUAGAAUAUGAAUAUAAAAUCAUUACUUGAAAAAUAAAAUUUUGUUUUGACAUCAGUGUAAUUUAAAUUGUAUUUUUCUUCAAAAUAUAAAAUUUUAUGAUCUGUGAGAACUAUAAAAAAAUAAUUUAUCAAAGAAAGCAAAUCAUAAUUCACAAAUAUAUAUACAUAUAUAUAUAUGUGUGUGUUUUCUUUAAAUAAAUACAAUAAAUUUUAUAAAGAUGCAUCAGCCAAUAAUAUUACUAACAAAAUAUUUUUUUGGCAAAGGAUAUAAAUCACAUGUUUUUAAAGUAAAAUUAUUUUUCUUAUAAUUACAGAAAUUUCUUAAAUUAAUACAAUAAUAUAAACGCUGAUACAUUAAUUUGAUGCGCGAGAAAUAUUGAUCAUUAAGUAAAAUAAAUUACAUUUUAUACAUGUUACGCUACUAAUCUAAUGUACAUUUACAUGAACAGUAAUCUAAUACACGAGAAUAUUAAUUUGAUAUAAUCUGAUGCACAAAAAUAUAGAAUAUUAAAAAUUUGUAAGACUAAUAGGAAAUAAUCAAACCAUAUUUACUUUUUGGAGUAUUUAGAUUUCAAAGUGCACAUCCAAAUGCAUAUUUACAGUCUUGACUCUAUAUACAUAUAUAUUCAAACACAAUCUUAAUAUUAAAUGACUAUACAAAAUAAUUAUGACAAUCAAAUUUAAAUUUCUAAAAUAUUAAUCAAUAAGAUUAAUUUAAAAACAACCUUUACUUAAAAAUAUUUUUAAAAAUAUAUCAUAAAUCUAAGAGGUCAAAUAAUAUAUAGUAAUUUUUAUUCUUGAUUUGGUACCAUAAACGGAAGGUCUUUUCGUCUUAGCAUAAUUAUAAGUAUGGAAGAUUUAUAAAGAUUAACACUGCACGUUAUUAAGUGAGUAACAUUUUGAGCAAUAAAUAAAGUAAAAUAGGUGAAGAGGAAAGUGAUAUUGGGACAUUAAUUUCAUUUAUAGUAGUAAUAUCUUCAUUUUAUAAUAUUGGGACAUUAAUUUCAUUAGUUGACUUUUGUGCAUUUUACAAAUUGUGGUCACCCACUUAUUAAAAAACAUAAUUAAAAAUCUAAAACCAUGGUGUUAAAGUUAAGAUAAGAUCUCUACUAAUAAAUUCAACAUAUUUAUUUUAGUAUUUUUAAAAAAAAACAUAAUCAAAGUACUUCUAAUAUAAAAUAAAUAUUUGUAAAAAAAACAAGAGUAUUCCCGUAUACUUUAUGAAGUUAAAAUAGUACCAAUUCGCUUAUUUCAAUUUUACAUAUCUAGUGCAGUUUAUAUUAACUAAUUUCAACCUUAUAUUUCUAGUGCAAUUCAGAUUAACUUAUUUUAACCUUAUAUAUUUAGUACAAUUAGAUUAUUUAUUUUUAGUGUUUUUAAAUCUUAUGUAGUUUUUUUUAAAGGAGUUUGAAAAGAUUAUAAAGGGGUAAAACUUAUUCGCAUCGAGUGUGUACAUCAAUUCAUGUCAUGUGUUUAAAUAUGUUCAUUUUACUUAACUUUAAUUAAUUAGCAUAACAUGCAUUUUAUUUUAUUAAAUCGCAUAAAAAUGAAAAUUGAAAUAGUUUGAUACAAGCACAAGGUGCAGAUAAGUUUUUGCCCAUUGAUUUUCAGCACCGACUUUUAGCUAAAGAAGUUAAAAUAAGUCAAAAAUAGGACAUCAUCUAUUUUUGACUUUUAACAUUCGACUUAUAAAUUAUUUUUUAUAAGCUCAUUCAAGGGCCUUAAUAUAUGUUUAUUGUGCAAUUUACAUCAUAUUCUAUUUUUUCCUACAUGUGUGAUUUGCACCCUAACUUCUUCUCUUUUUUUUUUUGUCAUAACCAAACUAUCAAUCACCUAACUUUGUUUAGCUAAGAGAAUUUGCUUAGCCACAGAGAAAAUAUCGAAAGCUCCUUUCCUCAUCUAUAGUUGCUCAAAAUGGAUCGAUAACUUUAUAAUUCUUUAUUGUUUUACAAAAAAUUACAAAUCAUCAUAAAAAUAAAAUAAAAAAGGUAGGAUAAAGUGAAAAUCACAAAUUAAAACACACAUUAAGGGUGUGCAAAACGUCAUAUUCUCUAGCAUUAUUUAGAGUACUAGUCAAACAAAUUUCAUUUCUCGUAUAUUUAUUAUAUGAAUAGUUUUUUUUAUUCGUUCCUAAGAGAUUUUUAUGUUGCCUUAUUACUGAUUCGAACUAACAAUCUUGGAAUUAAAGGCGCAAAAUAUUUAUCACUUAAGCAACUCUCUCGCAUUAAUUUAAGAAAAUUGAUGUGCCUUUUAUUUAUUUUUCAAACUCGAAAGCGGCAACUCUUGAAGGUAUGAACAAGUUGAAGAUGUAGGGCUCAACACAAAAUGCCAGUUUCAUCACACGAGACUCUCGUGACAAAAGGAUGUUAAUAAUCAUUGAAUUCAUAAUACUUAUGUUUAUACAUUAUAUAGUAAAGUAAUUAUAAUAAUUAUAAUAAUAACUCACUUUUCAAACUCCUGUAAUACUUGAGAUCUACUAAUUUACUUAGUUGAUUAAUUGAAUGUUAAUGUGAUCAAAGUUAACCUAGGGAAGUUGUUACUUUUGGGCACUUUGAAGGCCUUUUAAUAAUGGGUAACAACUCUUUCAUUAAUCAAAGAAGUUAUGGGUUUUUGAGUCUUUUUGGUACGGAGUCGUCUUUGUUUGGAGCGGUUUAUCUCUUCAAGUGAGGCUUUCCAGCGCGAAUUUAAAUUUUAGUUAUGUUCUAAUGUGCAUAUCAAACGAAUGAAAACCCCAAAGAAAAUAGUUAGAACUCAUUCGGUAAUGGAGUAUUAUUCUUUUUUUUUUCAUAAUAUUUUCUUACUUUAUAUUUUAAAUUAGUAUUUCAUUAUAAAAAAAAUUCAAAUUCCGUUCAUUUUCAAAAAUUGAAAAUGAUUUAUAUCUUAUUUUCCAACUCUAUCUUCAAUUCAAGUUCAAAAAGUGCUCCAUUGUCUCUUUUUGCAAAUAUCACCGAACAUAACACAUCUUCACUCUUACCUCAUAAAUUUAAGAAAACGGUAAAAGGAAAAAUAUUUAAAACUUAUUAUCAAAAUCCUGCUAAAGAAUAAAUGCUUUUUAAUAACACAUAGUAUAUAUAGAGUAUAUACACCAUUAAAGAAUAAUAUCUUUUUACACAUGGAGAAUAAAUUGACUUAUUAGUUGUUAUCACUAUUUUGAAAAAAAAUAUUAUAUAUAUCCAAAGGAUGCUGAUAAAAAAUAUUAUUAUAAAUAUUAUAUUAUUAUUAUUAUUUAUUAUUAUUAUUAUUGUUAUUUUUUUAUUAUUAUUAUUAUUGUUGUUAUUGUUAUUUUAUUUAUUAUUAUUAUUAUUAUCCAAACACAUAACUUCUUAUUUUAAAAAUAAGUUUCAACACUUACAAAAUAUUUUUUAAAAGUUACUUUUUUUAAUCUCAUCCAAAACGGGCUCGAAGUCCAGUUUGUUCUUUGAAGUAAUGCAUUACAACUAUACUCCAUAUUUUAAAAGGAGUAUAUAUAUUAUCUACAUCAUGUAAGUAAUUUUUACAUCAAAAAAUCACGUUAUAAAUUCCACUUGUUAAUGAGACUUAUUAUACAUAUAUUCUUUGAUUUAUUACAUAAGUUUAAAAUAUUUAUGUUGACGAUGUAUAUAAAUUAAAUCAAAAAGAGAAACAAGAUAAAACAAAAAUGACUAGCUACUUCAAAUAAUAGUACAAUUAAGAGACACAAAGAAAUUACCAAAGGUCAAAUCAUAUUUCAUUUCCUUAGACAUUAUAACUGGCAAUUAAAAGGGUUUGUUGAUGGAAUUAGAAUCCAAAAUACAACUACUACUAUAUCCUAGCUUCCAAUGUGUCCUCGAUAGCCAGAUUAAAUUCGGAUUCACACUCACUUAUCUAUCAACCUCUAAAUAUUACUAGUAGAAAAGUUGGUUAUAAGAAUAAUCAACUACAUUGAGAAGGAAUUUGUGGUCCAUUAAAUUUCAUAUUUGCAUUUUCACAAGUUGCAGAUGUACUCUGUUGGCCAUCCAAAGUUAAUUGCAAACCCCUUAGCUCAAUCCCUUGACAUGGUACACUUUUGCUACAAUCAAACACUACUGCCUCUUUUGAUGCUGAAGUUCCUUUUACAUUUAUGAAUUUUACAUCUGAAAUCUGCACUUGUGAUUCGCCCUGUAUACAAAUAUAUAUAAUUAAUAUACAAACAAAAAAAAAUGCAUUUUACCAGCAAUAAAUGUUCAAAUGCUUAGGUUUUUAACCACUAGCUAUCUAUACAUUUGAUAAAGUAUAUUUUUAAAUCUUUCUAUAACAAAGUCGUUUUGUAUUUUAUUUUGAUGAAGUGAAACAAAAAGGAGAGUUCAUUUUGGGCAAAGUUUUCAUUUUUAUCUAUUUAGGAAUGUGAUGCUCAAAAAAGUGUUCAUUUUGGGGUCUGAUUCGGAUAAAAUAUAUAAUAUAACAUAACAUAAUAUGAAAGUUAUUUUUUUUUAAGAAAAAAAAACUUUGAUUGUUAUAGAAUCUAUAUAUAAAACUUGUUUGUUAUUGAAAGUUCUAGUGAUCACGUAGCAAUAUUUGACUAGACGAUACAAAAGAGAGAAAAGAAAUUAUUUUUAAAGUUUAUAAUGUAAAACAAGUUGUAAAUAUCUAUGUGGUAGUAGAUCUUCUCAAUAAGAAUAAAAUGAUGAGUUAAAUAAAAUUUGAAAAAUGAAAACGUGUCACAUAAAUUACGUACCUGACUUUUACAAGAAGAGUGAGGACAAUAGUGUUGAUCAAUGAUGAUAGGAUUUUCAACAUAAUUCACAUUAAUAUCAACAAAAGUGACAUUGAAAACUUUGCUAGGAGGUGAAGGUGCCCAACUCUUUAUCCUUAGACCAUUUUGAGUUUUCCCAAUAUUACAAUUUGUCACAAUAACUCCAUUCACAUCACCUUCAUUUUGGUAUUUUCCUAAACUUCCAAUGCUAAUGCCAUGUCCAGGCCCACAAUUAACCUCAGAAAUAUGAACAUUAGAAGUACCAGGCCCAAUUGAAACACAAUCAUCUCCUGUUGAAAUAUUUACUUUGUUAAUAAUUAUAUCGUUGGAGCCGCCUAUAUGAAUCCCGUCAGUAUUUGGGCUUUCGCCUGGCGCUAUUAUGGUCAUGUUCUGAAAAUGAACUCCUUGGCUUUUAUUAAUUUGGAAGUGGAAGAACUUGCUGUUGAUUGAUGUUAUGCCUUGUAGAAAACCAUUGCUUAUGCUGUUGAAUUUUAUCGACUGUUUAUAAUAUACAAGAAAAUAAAAUGUCAUUAGUCCAUGAUACAAUGUUAUAAAAACCAUUAGUUAAUAGCAACUAUACAAAUGUUUUGAUUGAAACACAAGGAAAAAAAAUUGUAUUUCAAUGAGAAUUUGUUUACCACCCUACAUUUUCUCAUUGAAAAUCAUAUAUUAUAGCAUAAAAUUUACAUUGAUUCACAACGGAAAAUUUUUAUGUUUCUAGUAAUGACUAUAAUAGUAAUUCCAUUAGUUACAUUUGAAAUCUCUAUUUAAUUCCAAUAUUAAGAUAUUAUAAUUUUUUUAUAUAAAAUAUUACAACUCACUAUCUUUUGGAAAAUUUUGUCAAAAAAAAUAUGUACAUAGUGAAUAGGUAGUAUAUACUUAAAUACAUAAUUAUAAAAAUAUAGUAUACAUACUAUAUACACAUAUAUACAGCAUAUACAAUUAAAGUAUAUAGAUAAUGUAUACUUCAGUCGUGUUGAUAAACUAGACGGAGGAGGUUAUAUUUUUCUCCCUUUUUAAUCUUUUUAUUUGUGAUUUUAUUUUUGUAUUUAGUACGCAAAAUAAACAAUUAGAAGGGAAGAAAAUAUUUAAUAUGCAAUAAAAAUAUUAUUUUUUUUACCGAAGGAGGAUUUGGGCCGUUAUCAUUAUACAUGGACCAUGCAGAUGGGCCUUGACCAUCUAACGAACCUUGUCCAUUAAUAGUCAGCCCAUCAAUAUGUUCAAAUAAUAUCCAAUAAUCAUCUUUGACUUUCCCCAAAGGAGCUUUUAAAAGUCCGUUAAUGUUAAAAAACAUUGGGCCUUUGCAUGGCCCAUUAAAUGUUAAUGUAUUCAACAAAAAAGUUCCUAUUGGAAUAAGGACUGUGCCUCCUCCAUUGUUUUGACAUGCUUGGCCCCAUGCCUUCAAAAAUGCCUACAAAGAAACAAAAAGACUUGAGAAAUAACGAUAACAAUAAUCGACGGAUGUAUAAUAUAUGUAUAAUGAGUGUAUAUUCUAUGUAUAUUAACAAGAAAAGGUAAAAAGUGAGGAGACAUAUACAUUGAAAGAAGUUAUUUAUCUACGCAAUGUAAUUAUUCACCAAAAAUGAAUCGAUAACUAUUUUGUGGACAAUGGUAAUUUUACCACUCUAUACAUUAUUAGUAUAUUGUAACAUGUUAUAGCAGUUUGUCUGUCAUAUUUUUCUAGAUUACUAAUUUCGACGAUUGCGAUUUUACCUGACUACUAUCAGUCUUCCCAUUAGGACUAGCACCAAAAUCUUGAACAUUAAACACUGAACCAUUACCAUGAACUUGAGAAACCUUAAUGAUUAUCAAGAAAAUGACAAACAAAGAAAGGAAAUGAAAGAAAAAAUGGGAAGAAGUCAUUUUUUGUAUUGUUUGAUUUUGUGUUUUCUUUCAAGACUUGUGGAAGAUGAUAAUUUUUAAGUUGAGUUCUUACAAAUGAUUUAUUUGAAGUAUUUAUUUAGUGAAAUUUUUAUAGUCGAAAAUGGAAACAAAACAAAUUAAAUCCCAAUUUUAACGUGAGGAUCAAUCGAAUUAUAAUGAGGUAUCUCACUUUCCAUUUUAUAAUAUGUAAUUAAGUUAUAUGGAUCAACUUAACGAUUUUUACGUUAUACUUUACUUAGUUUAACAAGUAAUAAUAUGUUAAUUGUACCAUUUUAAGUAGUCAUUAUUUAAUACUUAAUUAUAUAGUUUUACCUAUAAUUACCUCAAAGGUAACUUAAUUGUAUGAAUAUAUUUUCCAUAUUACCUUGAUCGAUAUUAAUCAAUAUCUAGUUUAGUAGUAUUUUCAAUGCAUAAUAUUAGUUAUAAAUCUUUUUUAAGUAUUAUAUGGUGUAAAACUAAACAUAGCACCUCAUGGUAUUAGAAUUACCAUGUUUUUUAUUUAGUAAUAGAUGAAUAAAUAUGAUUAAAGACAGAAUUAUGCUUGAAUACAUUAAAUUAAACACCGGAUAAGAAAUAAUUUAAGUAUAAUUAAUCUCAUCAUAAAUAAUAUUAAAAUUACCAGUUUCAAUAUGACAAAUUUAAUAUUUUUCUUACACACUAUAUCAAUCGAGUUGCUUUACUAAAUUAGGUAAAAUAAUGUAUGGUAUAAAUAGUUCUUUAGAUUAUAUCAAUCCUAAAUCAUUUUUUUUAAUCACAAUAAUAUUACUCUAAAUAACAUGUUGAUAUUUUUAUACCAUAUAAUUGAUUUUUAUCAUCACAAAAUUGCUUAACGUAUAUUCUAUUAUUUAUAGGAAAUAUGGAGUAUAUAACUUCCAAUAAACUAAAAGUAUUGUAUAGUGUUGAACUAUAUGAUAGAGAUUGCUUUACCUUUUCUUCUUCUUUUAAAAAUCUUUAAUGGGAAUCGUAUAAUCGAUUAAAUCAGUUUUCUAAAAUAAUAAAUAGACAAAAAAUUAAUUUGCAAAACAUUACGCCAAGACUCAAGGGUAAUUGCGUUAAAUCGAACCGCAAUCCAAAUUAAAUCGGUUAAAGAAUUGAUAUUUUAUGGUGUGAUUUUGAUUUUAUUUUUUAAAAACCAUAAAAAAAAAUUAUAUAUAAAUAUAUCAAUUAUUAUGUUAUUUUAUUAAAAAUUUUAAUUAACUUACCCUUUUUUUAAAAAAAUUGCUGCGUCUUUUUUCAAAUACUUCUUUAGUAUUUAGAAUUGACAACAUAUAAAUUGCACUCCCUCUAAUGAGAGAGGCAAUAGUGUUUUUUUUUUAAAAAAAAAAAUUGAAGAAACAAUUGUAAAUACAUGAAUAAUUAUAAAAAUUAAAAAAUUGAACAUUCACUAUUGAAGAAACAAUUGUAAAUACAUGAAUAAUUAUAAAAAUUAAAAAAUUGAACAUUCACUAUUGAAGUUCACUCAAUUUGACAUUUCGUAUUCAAAAUUAUUGUCACAUAAAUAAAUAUAAAGUAAUAUAAGAGGGAGUUUGCACUCAAUUGAUACAAUUUCAUUACCAAAAUAUGAUCAAAACAUACUUUAAUCACCGAUUCGUAAUACAACUUUAACAACAACAACAAUAAUUAACAACAUACUCAGUAUAGGUCAUCUCCACUGACUCUCACAAUUGAAAUUCAAAAAAAUAAAGAAUAUACGAGAAUCUUAACAAAAAAAAUAUAUAUCAUUCACACUAUUCAUGUUUGCACAAGUAGAAUGAAUCCACCCCCAAUGUUACACAUUUGAAGUAUUGUCUUGCAGUUUGAAUUCAUGAGUUGAAGAAAGAGGUGCACCAGGUGGUGGGGUGGGUACCCCAAAGACUUGGGGAUUGGUUUUGAUAUCUUGUCUACCUUUAGCUCUUCCAAAGAAAAAACAUCCAAAUCCAAUAAGAAUUGUGAAAAGUAUAAAUGGAAGAGAAAUAACAACCACCAUACCCAUAUCUCUUAUUAUCCUAAUUUCUUUGCUUUGCUAUGCUUUUAAUAAAUAAAUGGAGUAUGUAGAGAAUAUUGUUUUUUAUAGGUGGGAUUGUAACGUUAGGCAUAACGUUCUACUUUUCUAACGGCUACUUUUUUCUUUAGUUUUUUUUUAAAAAAAACAUGGAAUAUAUGUUUGAUUGGUGGGUCAAGGGUAGGGAUGGAAAUGAGGUGGCGCGGACGCGGGAUGGGGUGAGUUUAAGGUUGAGUGGGGUGGGAGGGACGCGGAGUGGUUUUUUUAAAAAAAAAUAAUGUAGGGCGGAAUGGGAUGGGUUGCAGGUUAGGGUAUGUGUGUUUUUACGUGAGUUCGUAUUUUAUUUUAACUCUGUACAUGUUAUUAUUGUGAUAGAGCAUUAUUUCUUAAGAUGAUUUCUUUAAAGCUAUAGUAAAUGAAAAUGGUUUAAUAAAAAAUAAUUCAAUCUUUUACAUGUUUCUAAUUGACCUCUAAAAAUAAAUUUCUAAGUCAUUGUCCUUUAAAUUAAUACAAUUUAAUUAAAAAAUGAAUUCAUUUUUAGUAUCAAACUUAACUAGAAAAAAAUAUUUAAAAAAUUAUGGGGGCCGCUCUAUGCGGUCAGGUUGGGACGGGUUGAAAACGAAAAAGAUUGUUAUGUGCGGUGAAGCGGGUUGAAAAUGAAAAAAUUAUUAGGUGGGGUGAGGCAUGGCGGGGUAGGUUGAAAAUGAAAAAAGUUGUUAUGUGGAUGAAGUAAAUAAAAAAAUUUGCGGGUUAAGCUAAACUGGUCCCGUAUAACCAUCCCUAGUUAAGGGUCUCAUUCAAUAGUCAUUUGAGAGGAUGUAUAGGAACAAUAUUAAAUAGAAUGUAUUAAUAAUACUCGUAUUAAUAUAUACAAAUUAUUUUUUAUUCAUUAUUUAGUUUUACAUAUUAAAAUAGACGACAUUUCAUAAUUUGUGACUGCUUGAGCAGACUAGUCUACGCUCAGAGCAAUAUUCUGAACUUGUCUCGAUACUGACAGUUCACGGGAUAGCACAGAAAGAAAGGAAAAGAAGUAAUUUCAAAGAAAUAUUUGUUUAAAACCUUUCACAACCAUUGCGAAAAAGAUGUAAAAAAUAUUUUGAGGGUCAAUUGACUUUUUAAUCAUGCUAAUGCAUUAAAUCCCUCUUGUAUUACUAAUAUAAUUUGUCUUUUACCAUUAUCCUGUAUUAGUUUUACGAAUUUCUAAAAUUCCUCAUUUUCACGCAUCAGAUUAAUAAAUCAGCGCUUUAAAUUAAUAUAUCUCACGCAUCAGAUUAGUGUAUCACGUAUAAAAUGUACAUUAGAUUAGUGUAUCAUCUAUAAAAUAUAAUAUAUCUUACUUAACGAUUAAUGUAUCUCGCACAUCAAAUUAAUAUAUCCGCGCUUAUAUUAUUGUAUGAGUUUGAGAAAUUUUUAUAAUUAUAAACUUAUAAGUGACAAAUUGUAAUUUUACCUUAAAAGUAUGUGAUUUUUGUCCUUUGUCCAAAAAAAUUUAUACCCGACAAAGUAUCGUUUAUACACAAAACUAAUGUAUACCUUAUUUCUUAUAAUUCAUUAUUUAUUCAUGUUAUGUUGAGGUUCAUUUGGCCAUAAAUAUAUAUUACUUUUUUCGAAAUUAAAUUUCAAAAAUCAUGUUUAGCUAUAAAAUUUCGAAAAAUAUCAUAAUUUGUAAUUAUGACUAAACACAACUUCCUGCAUCUUAAUUCUUUUCAAAUUUCAUGAGGCAGAAAUGUCUUGAAAAAAAAAAAGCAGUAUGUAUAUAUAAAGAAAUGAAACUUGAGAGUUUUGAACUGCACUAGCCAUUAUUAUUUGAAACAUUUUUUGAAUUUGGAACAGGCAAGCAGACCUUACUACUAGUAAAAUACUUGUUCAAUGUAGCUGCUUAUUUAAAAGGCGAAAAUUCAUACUAGAAACCAACUAAACAGACGAUCAUAAAAAAUAAAAAAAAAAAAAAAAAGUCAUAGAAAUUCUACUAUUCUUCGGAAUCAAUUUGCUUCAGGAGUCUCUUGUUCAGCUUUCUCUUGCUCAGCUUCCUGCACUUCCUUCUCUGUCUUCCUUCCUUUCUUCGAUUUAUAGUACACACUCAUGAACGUUCCGAUAGCUUUGUACUUCCUUCUGCAUUGCUCGUACAGACCGUUAUCAAACAUCCUCCAGAAAUUCUUCUCUGUCAGCUCAGUCACCGCGUAUUGAGCCUGAAAUCCAUGGUUCUCUAUCAACCAAAGCUCAAGUUGUCGGCAUUUCUCUGAACCAUCAAACGGCUCACCCCUCAGGACUGCUCCCGGAACAUAGUACACACCAACAUCAGUAUACAUUUGUGCAUAUUCGGUGUCACCCUGCCUUUUGUGUUUCUCGAAUCCUGGUUCAGGGUAGAUCAUUGGUCUCACUGGCAGCUUGUAAAUUCUGUGUGGGCACAGCCAAAUUGGAUAUACCUAAACAAAUACAAUUCGUAUGUACCAAAAUGUGCUUUAGUUAAAGGAAUUGCCAAAAACCAAAAAAACCGGACUAAAAGACGAACAAAUUUUUACCUCCAUCUCGCGAUGAACCCACUCGAGACAAUCACCGACCUUGUAAAGAGGAACAAGGAGAUCUUGAAUGACAUGAUGGUCAUGGUAAUAGUUUCUAAUAGCCUCACUUUGUGUGGCUUUGAGCAGAGCAAUCUUUGGUGGCAUGAGCCAUCCUAAGAGGAACCUAAACCAGAACUGAUCACCGAAUGGAAGAAUUAGUUUACCUUCCCAAUACAACGAUCUCGUGUGUCUGUGGUAGUAGUCCCUAGUUGGAAUGUACUCAACAAAUUCCCCUCUUUUUAGUGCGGUUUGAGCGUGUUGGUAAAACCAUGGUUUGAACCACCAACCGUAAUUGUUGAUUACAUUACCCCUUCGUUUGGCUUCAUUCCUCGAAGCAUACAUACCGGUCAUCAUAACCCCUUCGGUUGGACCAUAAAUCAUGCCUUCUACCAUCUCAGGAACUUUAGAAGGAUUGUCCUGAUCUCCAUCUUUAGGUGCAAAAGAAUCCGCGUAAGCCUGAGCAAGCUCUUUAAGAUUACCCCUUACAGGUUUGUAGGUAAGUUUCACGUAUUGAUCAACUGGUAUAAGCUUGAUUUCAGCUGAAACAAGAAGCCCCAAUGUUCCUUGAGACCACGGAAUAGCGUAGAAAAGAUCAGAAUAUUCGUUGUCCUUUGUAGCUCUAACAACCUUUCCAUCAGCUAGAACAACCUCAAGUGCUACAACAGUGUCAGAGAACAACCCAAAUAUGUGAGAACUUCCUUCAACCCCGAACCCAUUGAUCAAACCACCAACGGUAAGAUCAUCGAGCUCAGCGAGAACUGCAAGGGAAAGAUUCAUUGGGAUAGUGACCCUUGACAUUUGGCCCAUAUUGACUAGAGGCUCAACUUUAGCAACCAUCCGCUCCGUGUCAAUAUCAAGUAUAUUUCUAAACUUUGAAAGAUCAACUUCAAAAUGACGAGCACGUUUAUAGUCGACAUUUCUCAUUCCAACAACCACCCAAGGAGGUCUGGCUGUGCAUACAAGACCAUCCUUUUCUGCAUUCCUCUGGCCAAGACGCUUCACAACCUCUUUAACAUUCUCAUCGUGUUCCAUCUGGCGUUGCUUGUAAGAUUUCCUCUCGGAUUUCACAUCCCCUAGAUAUAUCGAGAAGUAAUACAAGAACGAGAAUGGAAGGACAAAAAAGAUGACAAUGAUCCAUCGGAACGAAAGAAGGAAGUCCACCAACUGGAUCUUCCUCUUAGGGUAAGCAGUGGCCACGGGGGCCUUAGCAUCCGACAUCUUGAAAACUUGAGGACAAACAACUGUUACAACGACGAAUCCAAGUUAAGAACCACAGCCAAGAAAUGUACUACUUAUCAUCAAUCACAUACCAAUUGAGCACUACUUAACAAACUUUAAGGCACAAAUAGCAUCAAUAUGAAACCUCUCCCAAAAACAUAAUGCUAUUGACAGUCAGAUUAACAACAACAGCAUCCCGCGAAAAACGCCAAGUUCAGUACAAUCUUGAAACUAAAAGUUGAAAUUUAUGCACCAUGGCCAUUUUCUUGUUACUAAUUAUCAUUGUAAAAUCAACUGAUGUAAAGGUAAAAUAGACUAAAUAUGGAGUUGAAUAUCUGAAUGGUCACUCAACUUAUACUAAUUAAUCGUUAAACAUCACUAAUCUAAGUUGUCUUCCAAAAAUCAUCUAAACUUUUUGACAAAUUUACCUCCAUAUUCACAAAAAAAAACAUAGAAAUAUUCAGAAAAAAAAAAAAACUCAAGAGAAAUAAUCCAUUCCGCUUUCUCAAUAAUUUAUUCAAAUUUAGGGAAGAACAGUAGUAAACGAAAACAGAGCAAGUUCAAACCUAACUUAUGUCAAAAAUAUCCAAGCUUUAAAUAUUUAUAAUUUGACUAUAUAUACAACAUAAUUUUUCAACUAAUAACAUUUUUCUUUGAUAUGCAAAACUAACAAAAUUACUAGUAUAUGCUUCUAUUGGAGCAUUACCAAAAAAUAAGAUUAUGCUCUUUCACUUCAAAAUUAUCAACUGAUUCCGCAACAAUAUAAUUUGUUCUUUACAGAAAAUUAUUUUCAACACAUUGGUUUAUAAAACUAACUUCAAAAAAAAAAAUUAAACCCAAAAACUUCAGCAUGCGUGAAACAUGACUCAUGAGCAACAAAAUAAUUUGUUCUACUCUAACUAUGUCAUGCAUUGUACAAAAAGAAAAGCAUAAUUAACUACCGAAUUCUUAACACUAAUUAUGAUUUUUCAUGCAUAAAUAGCUAUAAAAUUAGCUUAAAUUUAACAAAAUAAUAAUCAUAGUGAGAAAAAAUUGAGAAGAGAUGAAAAAUGAGUACCUAAUAAUUGGAUUGCAGAGUUUACUCCCCAAAAUGAGAGAUGGUUUAGUUAAAGAUGAUAGUGUGCUUUAUAGAGAACUUACAACAAUAGGGGUAUUUACGGAAAAACAUGUUAUUUGGUUGGUAGGCAGAGGACAUCGAUAAAAUCGUAAAAAGCUAAGUAUUAAAUACACUUUUAAAUUAUAUGUAAAAAUUAUUAAAAAUAAUAUUUUUACUUUAUUAAUUAUAAUUUAAAUAGUACAUCUUGAAUCUUAUAACAUAAUUUAAAAACUUGCUAAAUUUAUGAAUAUUUUCAAUAUUUCUCCGUCUUAUAUGAAUUAUAUAUAUUUAAAUGAUGAAAUGAAUAUAAAAAAAUCCAAAAUCAUUUUGUAAGUGUGAUUUAUAUCUUUAGCCCACCAUUUAGCCUACCAAUCAAACGCCCCCACUACUUAACUAAAAUUGUUAGAAAGAGUACAAAAGUAUCACUUUUGAAGAGUCGUUAAUUAUUCUUUAUAUAUCGUUAAAUGGCAUUAUACUAAUAAUAAUCAUUUGAAAUUUACAUGAUUAUUAAAGUGAGGUACUAUUUAGAUUUUAUUUUUGAAGAAAAGUAUGACAAAGAAUUAGUUUUAAUAAUUUUGAUAUAACAAAGAAGCAAUAUUUUUGUUAAUUAAACUAAACACUAAAGAAGCAAUCCUAUAUAUAAUUGACGAAUAUUAUUUAAAUAUUAUUUUUUUAGAUACUCAUAUUUAAAACACUUAGUAUUAUUUAUUUUACUUAUAUAUAAUAUAUUUUUCAUAAAAUAUUAUUCACUAUAGUUUUAUAUGUGUAGUAUAAAGAGAUAAUUUUACGGAUGAUUUAACAUUAUAACGGGUAUUAUUAUUCUUAUAAGUAACAUAUUAUUACAGAAACAAUUAAAAUAAACAUGAAAAAAUGGUUUUGCAUCAAUUAGGAUCAAAUCGUGAUGAUAAAAUACUGUUACCAUAAUAAUUACUCAUUAAGUGAGGUUUAGUUUUAAAAUAUUCAAAAUAAUUAUAGAUGCUACUUAAUAUUAAAAAGAUAUUUUUAUCUUAAUAAGUUAAAUUAGAAAACUAAAUAUAAAACUUCAUUUUUAAUAUAUUGGAAAAUAAAAAAUAGGGAAAAAGACAAAGUAACUUAUCGUCCGCUGACAACCACGUGACCCCUUUGGCCCGCUUUCCAAGUGCAUUAUUUUGGUGAAACAAUAAAUGAUUUGUCUGCCACAAAAAAUUAUAUAAUAGUAUCUUUCCGAAAGUUAAUUUGGACAAUUUUUAAAAUUAGAAUACAUUAAUUUUAUAUUUUAAAUAAAAAAUUAAAAAUUUAAAAAAUUAUAUAAUUAGUGUUAUACAUUAUGAUUUUAUUUCAUAUUGAUAUGAUAAAUAAUUUAUCAUAAAAUAAUUUUUAUAAUUUGCAUUUUAGAAAAAAUAACUAUAAGAAUUAUGAGUAAUCAGAUAGGAUAUCGUAAACGUAGAAUCUAUUGAGUGCAAAUGAUGAGCUGAGAGAAAUUAAAAUACGUUAUGUGAUUAUUUUGUCAUUGUUUUAUAUGAAAUAAUUUAUUUAUAUAAAAAGAAAUUAACUUUGAACCAAUACUAAUUAUUAUCACGCUUUAUAAGAUUAAAAAGUUAUUUUGUAAAUUAUUUUAAAAUUAGAUUCUUAUCCCAGAUCGAAUCUACCGUGCAAGUUAGAUUUUGGAGUUUUGUUUUACAAUUGGUUGAGAGGCAUUUUCGAGUUAUUAUUUUAAAAGAAAAAUCUUAUUAGAAUGUCUUACUCCUUCUCCAUUAAUAAAUAUAUAUAAAUAAUAAUAUCGUAUAUUUACUGAAUAAUUUUUCUCCGUUCUUGUUAAGAUUUAUAAAGUAAAAGACGUAUUAUUAUAUUUCAAACCAUUAUGAAUAACAUAAACUUUUCAUAAAAUUCACUUUGAUUAAAAUUUCAUAAAAUUUUUACACGUGUUCAUUAUUUAAUGCUCAAGAUUCCUUUUGUUAAUCAGAUGAAACUGCUAACGAUCUGGAGGCAUAUUAGGUAAAAUAAUUUAUGAAUUAAAAUUUAAUUUAAUAAAUAUAUUAUUUGAUUAUUUAAUUUAAUUUAAUUUAUGUAUUGUUUAUUCAUCAUAUGUGAUAUUAUCUUAUCCCUUGAAAAUGUAGGGAUAACUAAUUUAAGAUUUGUUAAAUCUUGGAUAAAAUUUUUAAAUGACUAAAUUAACCCUUUAUUCUUUUUUAAAAAAUUCUUUUGUAAUUUAAUUUCCUUUUUAUUUAUAUUAGAGUAGUUAUAAAUGUUCUUUUCUAAUUCUCCAAAUUUAUUUGGUGUAAUUUAAUGAUUUUACUAAUAUUUUUUUCUUCAUUUCUUUUUGAUUUUUUUUUAUUCAAGAUAAUUUGUCAAGAUAAGUUAAAUAAAUAUUUAACUUAACUAAUUAAAUGAAAUAAAUAAUUCUUUAAAAAAAUUAUCCGGUCCGGUAAUUAUCUACCUAGAAUUAGUUACAUGAAAUAAAAACUCAUAAUAACACAAGGGCAUAAUAGGAAAGAAUUUCUUUGUAGAAUUAUAAAUUAAACACAAAAUUAUUAAACACAAAAUUAAGUGGAAAGUAGUGAACCAAACACUUGACAAAAAAUAAUUCAUGCACUAUUAAUCCCUGCAUUACUAAUUCAUGCAUUAAUAAUCCAUGCAUUAUUAAUGUUUGUAUCAAACGACUCCUAUUAAAAAUUUUAAUUUUAUUUUAUUUUAAAAUAAAUUAAUAUUUUUUAUUUUUAAUUAAAAAAUAUUAAAAUUCUAAAUGAAAAUAUUUAAAAAUAUAAAAUAAUAUAAAAAAAUAAUCAUUUUGAUCAAAGAAAUUUCCAAUAAAAUAUAAUACUACUGGAAAACUUGGGUAAAUAAAAAGAAUCUUGAAAAUUCAAUAGUUAAAUAUGAUCUGCAACGUGUAUAUAGAUUAAAGUGAUGUCAGAAAAUAUAAAUUAUAGACAGUGAGAGAGUGACCAUUUGUUAAAAUUAGAGUUUUUAAUUAAUUAUUAUGAAUACAUAGAGUAAUGAGAUGUCGUUUUUCAUCUUUCCAAAUUUUCAACGAUAGUUGUUUAUUUAUCUUUUUAAAUUUCAUUAUUAUUAAUCAUAUUUUUUAUUUAUAAUUGUAAAAUAUGUAAAAUCAAUAUUGAAUAAAGUGUUAUCGAACACAUAGACUAACAUUAUUAUGAAACCCUAUGUUAAAAAUAUUGUUGAUUCGAAGAUAGUAAUUGAAUAUGUGAAAUUCAAAAAUCAAAAUUAUAUUCUAUUGAAGCACCAAUCGACAGAAUUGCUAACUACAUCAAUAAUCCCUACUUUUUGUUUUAACUUCUUCGGCUAAUUUUUUAAAAAAACUAUUAUUAUUAUUUUUUUAAAAUAUAAAAUUAUCAAUUUUUGUGUUUUAUUUUAGGUGAUAUUAUUUGACUUGAUAUGAUAUUUAAAAAAAUAAAAUUAAACUUAUGAUCCUAAACAAUUUUAAAAUAUUUAUAUGAAAAAAAAUUCAACUAUUUACUUGAACUUUGGAAAUAUCAAUUGUUUUAAAUUAUGAAAAAAGUGUCGACGAUUUUAUCAGAUCCGUUUAGCUAUUUGAAUCAAAAUCAUUAUAAAGAAGUUUUCUUUGAAUUAAAAUUUUGUUUGGACACGUAAUUUGAAUGAUUAACUUUUACUUUUAAUUAUGUAUAUAAAAAUUUAGUAAGUUGCAAAAAAAAUUAGAUUGCCUUGAUUAUAUAUAUAAUUUUAUCAAAUAAGCAAAAGUUCAUAACAAAAGUAAAAUUAUUUUCUUGUUUCGAAAAAAAAACUAAAUUUAUGAAUAAUUUUUUGUUCAAAAAAAAAUCAAACAUAAGUUGUAACGUAUUACUCUCUAAUAGAAGUCAAUUAUUGAAUAAUAUUAUUAGCAACUAUAUCAUCAUAUUUAUAUUAGGUGAAACAUUUCAUUACUCUUCUGGUAUUCUCCAAAAAAAUUGUAUACAUAUAAUUAUUAUUUUUUUAUAUAAAAUAUAGACUUGUAAAAGAUUUGUUUUUUAAUUUGAAAAUGUUAAAAUAAGAUAUGAAAUUUUCAAAUUAAGCUUUUUUGAAAAGUUUAGAAUUUAUUCUCUUUAUUUGAAAUGAUAUUAUAUAUUCAAACAUUGAUUCAUCUCAUAAUUUUAAAUUACCAAAAAAAGAAUUACAUAUCAACCGCAUAUUUAAUACUUUUCCGUUUAUUUUAAUUUAUCGUAUUGCUUUUUGAAAGUUAAUUUAACUAAUUUUUAAAGUUAAAUUAGAUUAUAUUAUUUCAAUAUUUCAAAAGAAAAAAUGAAUAUUCAAAAAUUAUAAAAAAAUAAUAUUAUAAGUUGAAAUUUAUUAAAUAUCAAAAUGCUGGAAUAAUAUUAAAAAUUUCUAAAAUUUAACACUAAAAUAGAAAAUUAUAACAAUUAAAAAUGAACAGAAAUAAUAUAAACUAGAGUUUUUUUUUUUUAAAAAAAAUAAGCAUCUAAAAUCAAUUACAGAUAAAUAAAAAUAUUUAGCUCACCAAAUAAAUCUCGACCAUUAAAAUAAUUGCAGAGACACGUGCAUAUUGUGACUGCACCACACAGAGUGUGGAGGAGCCAAAUCCGGACUAUUCCUUCUCUUCUACUAUUUUUGGUUAUGAUUCCAUCUGAGAAUCACGUGCUUUUUGGUAGAAUAUUCGUGCUUCAUUUCAAUAUUUCGCUUGUUAUAAAUUAUUUAUAAAUAAUUAAAAUUAAAAAAAUAAAAUAUAUAUAUAUUUUUUAGAUUUAUAUUGUUAGGAGUUAAAUUAUAUAUAUUUAGAAUUUAUGUAAUCAAGAAUUGAAUUAUACAAAUUUUAAAUUAAUACAUUUAAAAAAUUAAUAGUAAAAUUUCGUAAAACCAUUAACACGAACUAAAAAUAAUCAAAUUAUAAUUAUAUUACAUAACAUACAUUAUAUAUUUGUCAUUUUGUGUAAUUUUCUCAUAAAAGUGAUAAAAUCUGUAAUAUAAUAGUGAAGUCACAUAUAUCUAACUAAUAGAGUUCGAAAUAUUUUUAAGUCAUAAAGAGAAAAAAUUGACACAUGUAAGCGAGCCACACUUUUAUUAUGUAGCUAAAAUAAGAUUAGCGUAGUUAUUUCUUUCACUUUAUCAAAAAAUAUAAAUGACAAGCAUUAGUUGUAACAACCUUCUUAUUGGCAAAACAACAAAAAAGAACUGGGCCAUCAUCCCGUCAGAGCAGGCCAGCUGCACUAGGGCGUCAGCGCUCCACCAGGAUAAUUCGCACCGGAGCGUCUCCUUUUUUCUAAAAACACCUAAAAAGGCGAUGAUCGCCCCUAAAACCCCCCCAAAAGGAUGUUCUAGGCUUAGAAAGAGAGAAGAAAGAGAUUUCUAGCGUAAGAAUGUCGAUAGCUUGCGAAUUUUCGAUCGAAUCCACCGUCUGGUCGUCCGAAAGUCGGAUUGAGGCUAAAAUCUCUUUACGAUUGCUUGGCGUUUAGAUAGGUUAGGUUUAUUUAUUUGAGUAGUCUUAAAUCUGUUUUCACUACGUAGUAUAUGAAUAAUUGACGGUAGAAUUCAUGUGUAGGCCAUCGUGUACCGAAAAAAAUCGUCGUGCUUGUAUACCUAGUUGUUACACUAGUAUAUACCGUCAGAGGAAGCCUCAUCGUGUGAACUAAGGUUGGGUGAAGGUUUAAUUCUUGUUUGUGUGAUGAAAACCUGUGAAAUUAGGUCUUACGCCUAACUCACACCCCAAAAGCUAGCUCAAAGAGAGGACGAUUGCCCAAGUCUUAUAAGGAGUCCACUCAUCUCAUUAACCACCGAUGUGGACUUUUGUCAUUCUUUAACACCCCACCUCAUGCCAAGUGCUUAGCAUCUGGUGCGUGGGCAAUUUUGAUUUUGGGGGCCUCAACAUCGGGUGAGAUGACCCCUGCUCUGAUACCAUGUGAAAUUAGGUCUUAGACCUAACUCACACCCCAAAAGCUAGUUCAAAUGGAGAAGAAUUGCCCAAGCCUUAUAAGAAGUCUACCCAUCUCAUUAACCACUGAUAUGAAACUUUUGUCAUUCUUUAACAAAACCUGUUAAUGGUUUCGCUAUAUGCAUGUAUGCAUGAGAGCACCGUUGCAUUGUCAUAUUUAUUUGCUAUUGAGAAUGUGGAACUGUAUAUGGCUUUUGAAGUGAUAAUUGAAUUAUACAUUUUGUAUACAUUUUUUUAUCAUGUCGUGUUUACUUGUUAUAGAUCUCGUUAAUGAAUGAACUAAAAUGAUCAAACCCAAAUCGGGAGGUAGUGUGGUAAUAAAAAUCGAGGGUCCAGGUGUUACUAUGUGCUAUUUUACAGAAGUCGGUGGUGCAUAUCGUAAAUGUUGAGUAGCUGGGUAUUACCGGGGAUUUGUAUUGAAACGGUUAACAAGUCUUGGUAGAAUGUACUAUGGGGUAAAGGAUUGAGUAGUGAUGUGGAAAAAUUAGAGUAUGUCGUGAGUGGUUGACCGAGUUGGUAAUAGCUACAUAUGAAACCUCCUCUAAGUGAUUGAACAUUUAAACUAUGAUUAAGAAUGGAGCGGGUAAGGGGUUAUAGGCAGAUCUUAAAGCAUUCGGAAAAUGGUAAGGGGUAAGAGAACAUAAAUAUGGAAAUACAACUGGUCUUUUUGCAUGUUUCUUGCUAGUUGUUUUCUUAUAUUAUGCGGUGAGUAUCGGGUUAACUGAUGAUGUUUACUAGUAUGUGUGGUUGUAUUGAUACUGCUCUUGCUAUGCCUUUUGUCAUUGUUCGGUUACAGAGUCAGUGAUAUUUUGUAGGUGAGGACGAACAAUCUCCAACAACUUCUAUUUUUCCUUCUGUGUGGUGGAAACUACGUCAUUUAUUAUUAUGUUGUACCGCGUAAUCUUAUAAGCUCUUUUUACUUGUUUAGACUAGAUCUUUGGAAAAGUUAAUUACUUUACAAAUUAACUUUGAGUCGUUUAAAGGCUGGCUCGUUUAAAACAUUAUUUUAUAAACAUCACAUCAUGAAUUUCUUUUAUUCAUGAGUUUUUCUGAGUUUUCGGUAUUUUCAAAACGUUUGGUAAUCGAAGGUUCUCCUACUUAGGUGUUAGAGUAGGUGCCAGCAUGACCCGAUAAAUUGAAUCGUAACCUCUGUUAACGUUAAAAUUUUGACAUAAAAUUAAAAAAAAAAAACUACUUUUUAUAAAACAAAACUUUUUCUUAAACUUUGAAGUAGAAAUUUCUGUCACACUCUUACAUUUUCCAUAUGUACCUUUCAUCAAUGAGAUCCUUACUAUAUAUUUUCUAAUAGAACAACAAAAUGAAAAAUAUAUAAUAGUUAAAAAUGUCAUUUAAUUUAUAUUUUUAAAUAGUUAUUUUCAACUUCUAACUAUUCGCUUAAUAUAAAUCAAACUCGAUACUAUUAUAAACAAUACAUAUCAUUCAUUAUCUUUUUAAGGGCAUGCAAAGUCCGAAACCAAUAAUUUAAGAUGCAGGCAUAUUAGUAAGAAACUAAUUAUUUUAAAAAUAUUUACACGUACUCCAGCAAAAUAUUAUUGGGAUCAGAAAACUGAAAAGUGUUAGAAAAUAAAUUUAAGAGGCAUAGUAUCUGGAUGAAAUUAUACAUAUAUUAAUAUGAGUUUUAAUAAUAUAGGUAAAAGUUAUAUAUAUAUUAAUUAUAUGCAAAAUUUAUUUAUAUCCGUAUAAAUUAAAUAGGCAUUCAUUGUGCAGAAUUCAACUAUAUACUAUUUAGUAAUUAGUAUACAUGUAUAAAUUAUGCAAACUUUAGUUAGAUAAAGUUUAUAAACAUUAGUGAACUACCGUAAUUUUUAUUUGUUAAUUUUUUUUGGGAAAAUAUCUAAGUACCCCCUUAAUAUAUGCCCGAAAUUUUAGAGACACACUUAUACUAUACUAAGGUCCUAUUACCUUCCCUGAACUUAUUUUAUAUGUAAUUUUCUACCCCUUUUUAGCCUACGUGGCACUAGUUGGGAAAAAAAAUCAACCAUCGUUGGGCCCACAAGAUAGUGCCACGUAAGCUUAAAAGGGGUAAAAAAUUAUUAAUAAAAUAAGUUCAGGGUAAUAGGAUCCCAGUAUAGUAUAAGUGUGUUUCUGAGAUUUCGGGUAUAGGUUGAGGGAUACUUGGGCAUUAUCCCAUUUUUCUUUAAAAAAAAAUAGCUAAUACUUAUCAUCACCAUUAAAGAAACCAACUAUAUAAUCAUUACAUUAAAAUUAGAUAAAUAUCAAUAGCUAAAAAAGUAAUAAAUAACUAAUAGUAAUUAAGUAAUUCAUAUUCAAUGUGAUUAAACAAUUAAGCAAUAGGUAAUUAAAUUAAAAUAAAUAACAAAUUACUAAAAAAAAUUGUAUUGACAAUGUGUUUUAGAGAAACUAAACAAAGAAAUCAACUAAAAUUGACCGUCACUACCUUUUACCACGAAAGAAAACAAUUAACAAGAAUUUCAGUAAAAGAAACUAACAGUAAUUAAGCAAUUACCUAGAUAAAAAUCUCCAAGAAAAAUACCGUUAUAACAAUUAAGCAAUAUGUAAUUAAUAUCUACAUAAUUUAUUUUACUUGCUAUCUCGUAUAAAUUAUAAGUAAAUUUCCUUUUAAGUUAUACAAAUAUUAAUUAUGUAAAAUUAUAAUGAAUACUACCAAACAACGUAUUAAUAUCCGUAUAACUUUUAUAAAACAUUUCAAAAUUUAUCAACCAAACACCAUAAAGUCAAUGCACGAAUAAAUUUUAUUUUAUUUGCAAACCAAACAUAAUAUAUAAUUAAUACACGAAUAACCAAAAUUUUAAUUUAUCUCCUCUACUAAGUUAUUCUAUUUUCCUUUUCAUUUUUAUUGAAUAUUUUUUUAGAAGAAAUAUUUAGAAAACAAGUUGAACUGUUGGAACAAAAAAAAUCAUACCCAACUAACCUUAGUCCUUGAGGGUGAAAUAAAAUAUAUAUUUGGAGAGUAAAAUAGAAAAUGUGUUCUCUAAUUACAUUUUAUCUACAAAUACAGAGCGGUGACCUUUCUAUUUUAUUUUUUAAUUAUUUUAAUAAUAUUUUUAUUAUAUUACUAUUUAUUAAGUCUUUUAUCAUUUAUAUUUAUUUUCUAAUGUGAUACAAUAUCUAAAAAUAUAUUAUUAACAAGUUACUAUUUCCACUCAAAUUAAUAAUUUUUCUAUUUUAUCUUUAAAAAAAGAAAUUAUUGCUUCAAAUAUGUAAUUUUAAAGUCAUUUUAAUAUUAUUAUAUUAUAUAAGAUUAUUAAUUAAGUCUCUAAUAUUUUAAAUUAUUUUCUAAUUAAUAUAAUAUCUAGAACAUAUUAUUGAUUAGUAUACUAUUUUCAUUCUGAAAUUAACAAUUUAUUUUUAUUUUUUCAUUUUAAAUAAGUAAUUUAAAUUAUAAUUAUUUUCAUUAUGAAGUAUGCACAAAAUUUACCUGAUAAUUUAAACAUUCUACUUUUAUGUUAUUGUUAUAAGUUAUUAAGCUACAUUUUUUCAAAGAGUAUGAAAAUAUUUGAUGCAAUGAGUCAAAAUGGAAUAGAAAAAGUUAAUUAAUACACGAAAUAAUUGGUAUAAGACAAAAUUAUUAAUUUAAACAAUUUUAGAUACACAUAAAAAAAUAAGGACAAAAAACACUUAUUUUGAACUCCGUAAUACAUUAAUUGAACAUUCAUAAGAGUAUGUUAUAAGAUUCAAUAUGUAAUUUUAUUUCAUCAAUGAUUUCACUUUUAUUUGAAUUGUUCACUAAUAUGUAUUAUAUAUACUAUUUAUUGCAAUUUAUGUCAUUUAGAAUUUUUAAAAAAUUAUAUCUUAAUUAUAAUUUCAUAAAAUAAGAUAAAAUAAUUUUAAAUAAAAUAAUAUAAAUAUAAAAAAAAGUUCAAAUUUAAUUGUAAUACAUUUAUUCUUAUUUCACCUAACAAUUGAAUAAACUGUACCGCUAUUAAAGGAUAUUGCAUUCGGACAAAAUUACUUAUUCCUUAAUUAAAUAUUUUAAGUUCAUACUCCAAGUAUUAAAAAAUCUUUAAUAAAAAACAUUUCCUAUAAAAUGAGGCCAAUUUUCUGCAAUGUAAAUUUAAAAUAGUUAGGUAUAUUAAAUUAUUUUAUAAACAAUAGUUAAUGAUUCUGCGACGUAAAUCUAAAAUAGUUUGGCAUGCUAAAUUUUUUAUAAACGUGGCUAGUGGUGUGCUAAGCCAUUUCAUUUUAUUUCAUUUGAAUGGUUGAAAUUAUUUGCAUAUUUUUCAUGAGUGGUAGAGAGCACAAGUAUGGAAUUGACAGGCUUUGAAUUGCUGAGAUCUAGACAUGGAGAAUUGGACCUACUAUAUAUUAUGCAAUUAUAUACUAAUCUUUAGAGACACGUUGUAAAAACAUAGGUGUGCUAAAGAUGUACGUUGGUCGAAAAAUUAUAUUAUCGUUAUUAUAACUUACAUUGAUAGAGAAUAAUUUGGACAUAGAUUUUUAUGAUCAGACCAAAUUGUUAAGUUUUCAUAUUGGGUGAAAUGCGAAACUUAUUUCUCUUUAAAUGAUUUCGUACACUCAAACAUCACCUUAAUAGUUUAGAUUUUUCGGAUUAAAUAAUGUUUAAGAUUUGUAUUCCUUCAUCAUGUUUUAAGAGUUUGAGUUUAUUUUUAUUCUUAUUAUUUAUUUUAUAUUGGUCUUUUUCUUUUUUAUAUUUUUAGGUUGUUGAGCGUUCAUAUUGAUUGAGAUGUCAAAACUUUGAUAUUUUAAAUAAUCUUUAACAAUUUUCACCUCAUAAUUACAUCAUCAGGUCGAAUUAGAUGUAAGAUUCAUUUCGUAGCACUAUUUUCAUGUGAAAAAAACUAUAGAAUUUUGCAGAUAUCAUUUUUGCUCAAUUUCAACGACUAAAAGUACUAAAUUACCCUCAACAUCAACUUUUUAUAGUCUCCCCACAAAAAAAUUGAGGGUAUUAUAGUCAAUCCUCCUUCUCUCACUAUAGUUUUUAAGUGAAAUCUCAAAACUGUCCCUACAUUCAGUGGCAAGUCAAUUCGAAGUAUCCUCAACUCUCAGCCCUAAUUUGGGGAUUUCAUUCCAUUAAAUCAUUAUCUGCUCAAUGCCAGAGUACCAGAGAUACUAUAUUAUAUUCUAUAUACAUAAAAUUUUGGUAAAUCGUGGUGAAUAGUCAUUAUCUAGACAAUGAUUUUUUGUUGUUUCUGUAAUCCUUGAUUAUUUUUUUUCAGUGUAAUUAGUGUCUUAAUCGUAGUAUUAUACUUUAAUAGGGUGAUUUUAACUUCUCUUCAUCGCAAUUUAUAUAAUGUAAUUUGAUUUGAUAUUAAUUUAAUGAUACACUUGUGUAUAAAAAAAACUUUAUAAUAUUCUAAAAUUACCUUUCAAAUAAAAUAAGAAAAAAUUGUAUAUAAUAGCAAACUAAUAACCUAAAAUAAAUGAAGUAGAUAGGGUUUGAUUUAAUUGUGUUCCAUAGCAAAAUGUUUGCAAAAAAUUGCAGGCGCCUCUCUCCCAAAUAUCUCGCUCGCUCGCUUCCUCACUUUUUAUACAAACACAAGUGUAUAAAAAUUGUUUCUAAUUGUAUAAAGUAGAGAAAAUUGUAUAAAUAUAUAUAUUUUUGUUCCGCUCUCUCCUCUCUUUCAGAUCUCGCUCGCCGCUCUCCCAAAAUCUCGCUCGCCACGCUCGCCUUUCUCUCUUAUACAAAUAGAAGCGAAAUGUAUAUAUUGCGUUUCUGUUUGUAUAAAGCGUGAGAAAAUUGUAUAUACACAUGCAAGUACAUAUAUUUUCGUCCUAUACACUUAUAAUUAUACAAUAAAAAUACUCUCCUGUCCAACUUCUUUUACCUUUCUCUCUUUCUCGUUUUAUACAAUUUUCAAAUUAUAUCUAAUUUCUCUCUUUCUCGUUUUAUACAAUUCGAUUCAAUUGUAUAUUCCUUGUCAAGUCUCUUUUGUCUUUCUCUCUUUCUCAUUUUAUACAAAUUCAAAUUGUAUAUAAUCGUUCUAUACACUUAUAAUAAUAUAAUUCGUUUUAUACACUUCGUUUUUAUACAGUUCUCUGCCCAAGUGUCUUUCUCUUUCUUGUUUUAUACAUUUCGUUUUAUAUAAUUUGCUUCAAGUGUAUAUGUAUAGCGAAUUAUAUAGCUUCUAUGUUUGCUAUGGAGCAAUUAUGCAAACUUUGCUAUAACAUACAAAUAUAAAUUUUUUGUUUGUUAUAUAUGAAUAUUGCCCAUAAAAUAAAGUAAAAAAUUACACCUAAGUAGAUUUUUGUGUGUAUAUAUAUAUAUAUAUAUAUAUAUAUAUAUAUAUAUAUAUAUAUAUAUAUAAACUAUAAAAAAAAUAUGUCAUAAAAAUUAAGACAAAAAAAAUGAUCGCUUCGUAUAACUGUGAUUUGUAAUUAUGUGAACUGCUUAAUACUACUCCCUUUGAACUAAAUAUCAGUCAAUACUUUUAAAAAAAAUAUAUUUUAAUAAAUAGGUGUAAAGUUAGCAAUUAUACUAUAUUAUUAUUAUUAUUAUUAUUAUUAUUACUAAUUUUUUAAUAAGUGUGAAAAAGUGAAAGUAAUAGUUAAAAUUAUAUAAAGGCGUAUCAUUUAUUUAUAUAAUGUGAGAAUCCAUUCAAUAUAUCAAAAAAAUUUUGUUCACUUGUAUUGUGAUUGUAUGAAUGCUUGAAUUAUUCAAUAUUCCUUCUUAUUUCUCAUCAAAUAAAUGAUAUCUUCUUCUGAAAAUUCUAUCGUCUCAACUUAUUUCCUUCUUUUUGAUACUUUCUUUUCCGAUGAAAAAACUUACUAAGAUUUUAAAAAUUAUUUUAAAAAGAUUUGACUAAAAAAAUUAAUCCUUUUACAUUUAGCGAGUCAUUUUCUUUUAUAAUAUGCUUUAAACCUUUCCAUUUUUUUCUUAGGUAAUUCAAAUUAUAAUCUCAAUACCUUAAACUUGAAAUCAUAAUUUCCUUUAAUAUCCGAACAAAUCCUUUAAUUCGUUGACUAAUUUGUGAGAAAAUAAAAGAUGUAUUUUUUUAAAAUAAAAAUAAAAAUUGUAGAUCUGUUUUUGGUUUAAGUGAGGUGAAUAUAAUGUUAGUUUGACAAAUAAAAGGACAAAAUAUAACAUAUAGCCUGCUGGCAACCACGUGAGACUUUGAAUUAUUUUUAUGAAGCGAUAAAUGACUUUGUCUCUCAUAAAAUAAAAUCAUUAGAAUAUCUUUAGAAUUUAUUUAUUAAAUUGUAAAGGACCUAAUUAAUUGUACAAUUUAUUAUGUUUUGGAGAUUCCGUUUGAAAUCUUGUUUGCGUCACAAGUUGUUGAACAAAUAAUGUGGUACUCCUUCUGUUCUGUACAUUAUACUUUUUUUUAAAAUUAUAAAUAAAAAGAUCAUUUUGUUAUAUUAUUCUUUUAAAAAUAAUAUCUUAAAAAAUAUAAAAGAGAAAUGACUAUAAUUAAUGAUGAGGAUAAAUUAGAAAUUAAGUACAUAAAGUGGAUAGAUAUUGUUAUAAAAUAAUAUAGUGGAAAACUAUCAUUGAACGAAGGAAGCGUUAAAAAUAAUUGUUUAAUAAUACUCCAUGUUUCUUAUUUUCAUGUCGCUUUUACUAUAAAUGGAUAUUUUUAAAUAUUUAUUAUUUCAUAAAUUCAAUACAUAAAUAACAUUAUCCUUCUUAUUUUUUUAUCGUUGAAAGCAUGAAUUUGAUCCGUAUAAUAAAACUAAAUGGAUAAUUUAUGUUAAUUGAUAAGUUUAAUUGUCAAAAUAAAAUAUUUAUGUUUAUUUAGUCAAGAUAAUAUUGAAUAUGGAACUUACUUAUUUUCGGAAGGUACAUGAAAUUUAAAGGUUUAGAAAAUCACAAGACGUCUUUUUCACCCUUAUUAUUAAUACUAUUUAACAUCUAAUACAUCUUUUGAAAUAAUAAGUUUAAUGUAUUCAAAGGAUAAUGUGUUAAUAUUAUUCCUACUAAUUAUUAGGUUUUACGCUAUAUGUCAAAUCAAUCAUGAAUAACUAUUGUUAAAUAGAGAGAAUAGUAUUAAAAGAUGCUUUGACAUAAUAAGAGAUUUCAAAUAUUCUUAAGUAGGUGUAGAGUACCGUAUAUCAUAGCAUUUAAAAUUUUGGUACGUAUUAUAUCAUUAUCAUAAUAGUAAUUAGUCAGAUUUCGACUUACCUAUAUAUAUGCAACUCCAUAAUGAUUGAAAUAAUACUCAAAUAGCUUGUUACAUUUUCCAAAUAGUAGUAAAUAUGGCUUAUGAAUCACUUUGCAAAAGUAACAAUAUAUAUAUAUAUAUAUAUAUAUAUAUAUAUAUUAUUAUUAUAAAACUUUGAUAUGGUGUAUGAUCUUUCAAUAUUUAUAAUACAAAUAUCAAAAUCAAAAUAAUCUAAAAUGCAUAGCAAAUACCAUAUUAAAUAUCAUAUAUUCACAUUAUACAAUAGAAAAUUUUGAUUUUGAUAUAAGUACUCCUUCAUCGUCUACGUGUUAUUUGUGGACUUUUUCUUUACAAAAUACUUAAGAAAUGAUAAAUAAAAAAGCUAUUUUUAUUAAUUUAUCCAUUAACAUUUUAAAUACAUUUUUUUAAUGUGUUUUAUCAUAGAUGAAAAAAUAACUAUUGGAAAACUCUUUUUUUUUUAAGUAUCUUUACCAUAUUUCUAUAAUAUUAAAAAUAAUUAAUUGUUAGAGCAAAAUGCAAAUAAUACAAAUCAUUAAUUUUGUAAAUUAUCAAAGAAUUAGAGACGGAUGUUUUUUUAAUAAUGCAAACAAGUAUUCCCCCAUUUCACAAAUAGUUAUCAUAUUUAGUUUUUUGUUUCGAAAACUAAUUUUCAAAGUUAAUUUGUUUAGAUUAAUUUAAUAUUUUAAAAAUAAAAUUUAGAUAUUUAAAAAAAUCUAAAAAAAUUAGAAUUUUAAUUUUUUUAAUCAAUAUUUUUAAAUGAAUAUGUCUUAAAAUAUUGAUUUCAAUUUAUAUUAUUCUAACUAAAAAUUGUGAUAAAAUAAAAAUGAAUGGAGAAAAUAUACAACAUGGAGGAAGUAAUAAUUUGAACUUCUCUAGCGAUCCUUUUGACCAAAUUAAGAUCAUUUAAGUCUCUUUGUUGUCUUCAUUCUUCAUUUAUGGUUUUGAUUACAAAAUUAAAUCGAAUUAUGUUUUGAAUUAAAUUGAUAUUUGAUUAAUUUAAUUUGGUUAAAUUUUAAAAAUCGAUAUUAUUUAGUAUGAUUUUAAUAAAAAACAAUUGCAAAAAUAAUUGAACUGAACAAAUAAACUAGAUGUAUAAAUUUUAUGAUCAUUUAUAUAUUAUUCAUAAAUAAAAAAAUAUUUUUGUUAAAUUUUAAUUAAUUUAAAUCUUUAACUUUAACAAUUUUCAAGCCCAAUACUUUAGCCCAACUAUAACAAUCUUACGUCCAAGUCCAUCAAAAUCAUAUUUAAUCUUUACCUACCCAACUUCAUAUAAAAUAGUCAUAUUUUUUCUUAAUUGAAUCACUUUUAUCGUGUAAUAAUAACUCUAGUAUUGCUUAAUUGCUUAACUGAAUCGUCAAUAGCUUUUCUAUGGAUUGUUCAUUACUAGGUGUAAGUGUCUAUCGAGAUUCGUACAUUCUCAAAAAAAAUUAUAUUCAAGCUAAAUAAAUCAUAAAAGUUGAACAAAACCAAUAAUUCUUUCUUUCCGUUUGGUUUAAUUUAAUUUUAGAAAUAUAUUUAAACCAACUAGAUCAAUAAUCGAUCCAAGCCAAAUCACGAGCACCCUUACAGGGAUAUUACUUAUAGAUCUAUCAUCUAUAUAUAAAAAACAUGUUAAGUCCUUUUCCUUUGGGAAAUAGUUCAAUACAAAAUCUUUUAGUUAUAUAGUAUUGUGUUGAGUUUUAUUUCUUAAUGAUUUUUUUUGGUUAAUAUUUGUGCUUUUAAUUUAGGGGAAAAGGACGAAUAUAUCCAAAGUUAUCUUAAAUGGCAUGCAAAUAUUUUCCGUCAUAUUUUUGGGACAUUAAUACUCUUGCCAUCCAAAAAUUAGAACAACUUGUUAAAAUUCUAAAAAUAUUUAUAUUGAAUGAAAUAUCUUUUAAAAUGAUACCAUAGGCACAUCACAAUUUUUGUAAUUUUUGAAAAUAUUUUUUUUAUACUAAAUAGCUGUUAGGAUAAAAUUUAUUUUCAAAACUAGCCUAUAUUUGAAUUGUUACCCGCGUUAUAUGCUAUUAUACAAACUUUAUACCUUGUAUAUACUAACUAUAUAACAUGGUAUAUCGUGAUCCGUGUGUAUAAGUACUGUUAAAAACUCCCUCUAGAGUUGGCUAAUUUUAAGAUUAACUUAAUACUUUAAAUUCAUUUCUUUAACAAAAAUAUAAUUUUUAUGUAAAAAAAUAUAGAUUUUUUUUUAUAAAUUAGUUCAAAUUGAAAUCAUAAUUUUAACUUUACAACAAAUUUAACAAUAAGAUUUUUAAGAUUUGACAAAUAGAAACGAUCUCAAUAAAGAACUUUUAUGAAUAUAUCGAUGCUAGUUUAUUAUGAGGGGACUAGGGAUGUUAUCAACCAAGAGAUAUUUUUAUUUUUUGAAAAGAAAGUGAACUGAAUAUUUUGAGGUGCGAAUAAAUUCAUCUUUUCUAAAUAAUAUUAAUUGUUAAUUCUUUAGAAAGCAAAUUUCUUUAGAAUUUUCCAUGGCCAAGAUUAUUAUCAAAGAAUCUUCAAUCACUUUCAAGAUAACGUAAUUUAUAGAAGAAGAAGAAAAUCAUUUAAAGAAGAUUUCUUUAUUUGAACACGUAUUUCAGUUAAAACUUAAAUUUAGCUUUCAGGUAAAUUAAAUUCAUGAUAGAAUUUUAAAAAAUAAAAAAUAAAAAAAAUUUUAUUUAAAAAUUGAAUUCGCAUUUAAGCUCCAAAUACAAGUUCUAAUUAUUGAAUAUACAAUAUUUAUUUAUAAAUACAAAGACAUUUGAUAAAUUUACAAAUUCAAAGUGAAAAAGUUUUCUAUAAAUUAUUCCUAACAAUUAAAUCGGAUAUAUUAUGUGUAUUAAUUCUUUUAUUGACACAUUAUAUUGAGAAUAUUAUUAAUUAAUAAAACACAUUAUAUUGAAAAUAUUAUUAAUUAAUAAAAGUGUAUAUGAUAUUUUAAAUAUGAUAUCAGAGGAUACAGAAAUCCUGCGAUCAAAUUUUACUAUCACCUAUUUUAGAUGAGGUUACCACACACUUGAGGAUGAAACACUCCUAUGAUAUUCUUUCCUCCAAACAUUAUUAUACUUAUAGACCCCACAAAAUGAUCAACUCUUUAAAAAGUUGUUAGAACCUAGAAAAACUGAAUUAUUAGACGUUUGGCCAUAUGUUAUCAUAUUACAAUAUAAUAUCGUAAAAUGGAAUCAACAUUUGGAUAUAUGUAAUUUUGCGUUAAUUUUAUUUCAUAAUUUCAUAUCAUGAAAUAUGAUGCUAUAUUUUUCAAAAAGGAUGAUAUAGAAUUACAUUGUGAUUUCAUAUCAUGAUUUGAGAUAUUUUUAAAAAAAAUUGAUCUACAAAUUUAUAUUUUGUCAAAACAAUUCCACAUGUAUAUCUAGUAACCAUUUAUUUCAUGUGUAAAUAAAAUUUAUAAUCACAUCAUUACUUUUUAAAGUUUAAUAUUCUCAUCGAAAUAAAAUUUAUUAUUCACACCAACAUAUGAUCACUUUAACUCACACCAACCGAUUGUUAAAGUAAUGAAAUAAUUAUGGUCUAUAAACAUGAAAAUAUAGUUGCGAAUGAUAUUGACCAACAAAUAGCUCAAAAGUAACAAUGUUGGUUCGUCUUCUCAGUCACAUGAUCGAGAAAUGCAAAUUCAACUUGAAGAAAUUGUCCGAUCUAUGUAAGAGGAUUAUAUGAAAAACUAGUACACUAUAAUUUAUGUUCAAUUUUUUUUAAUUAAAUUAAAGCUAGAUGAAACAAUUACUUAAGUGUAGAACAAAUACCUUUGUAAUAAUUUUAUUAUGCGAUUUUACAAUUUUUUAUUUGAUAAGAUUGAAUAAACAAUUGGGGCUACUUUAAUAAUUUUACUAUAACUUAUAAGGUUUUAUGAGAAAAAAAAUAACACACAAUUUUUAUAUCGUAUGACCAAACAAAAUUUUAAUUUCAUUUUAUAAUUUCAUAUCAUAAUAUCAUAUGCAUGAUCAAACAUGUUCUGAGAGACUACAUGUCAACAAUUUAUCUCACUUUUUUUGCUCUUAAAAUUGGUCAAAUUGGUUUCUCUAUAAGAAUAUCUGAAUAUGAUCCACUAUAUUUUGUUAUCAGCUUGGCCUGUAAUGUGUAUGAUGUUUAUGGUGGUGCAUUGGCAAAGUUGGUUAAUAUAUUGUCAUGAAAAUUCUAAAUACACACAUAGUAACAAAUUAAUAUGUUUAUACACUUUUAUUUUAUGAUAACAUUGUAGGGCAUAAAAAUGGACAAAGGAAGAGAGUAAACCUCAUUUUUGUAAAUGUUGUUUCAAAGCAAGAACAUCUGUUCAAUCUACAGAAGGAGUAUCUCAGUCGCUGCUGCAUUUUCCUCAAAACCCAAUUCCCCUUUCAUCCAAGAUUCAGUUAUUCACUGCACAGAAGAAGUUUUAGCAUCGAAACUAGCUCCAAUUUUGCAAUCUUGCAACAGUUCUGCAGAAAAUCUUGGUUCUGUUAUUCGUAAAGGGGAGCAGGUUCAUGCCCAGGUAACUGUAAAUGGAAUUGACAACUUGGGUAUUCUUGGUACGAGAAUCUUGGGGAUGUAUGUUUUGUGUAACAGGUUUAUCGAUGCCAAGAAAUUGUUUUUUCAGCUUCGGUUGUGUUAUGCUUCUCCUUGGAAUUGGAUGAUUAGAGGGUAUACAAUAAUGGGUCGUUUUGAUCUUGCAAUCUUGUUGUUCUUUAAGAUGUUGGUGUUUGGUACUUACCCUGAUAAAUACACUUUUCCUUAUGUGAUUAAGGCUUGUGCUGGUGUAAAUGCUGUGAGUUUCGGUAAAUGGCUACAUCGGUUGGUACAAAGUUUAGGUUUUGAGGAUGAUGUGUUUGUAGGUAGUGCUUUUAUUAAGUUUUAUGCGGAGAAUGGUUGUUUGGAUGAUGCUCGUCUUUUGUUCGACAAAAUGUAUCAAAGGGAUAGUGUAUUGUGGAAUGUGAUGCUUAAUGGUUAUGCUAAAGAUGAACAGUCUGUGAAUGAUGUGGUUGGGUUAUUUAUGGAAAUGAGGAAAAGUGAAACUAAGCCUAAUUCAGUAACAUAUGCUUGUGUUCUUUCUGUUUGUGCGUCGGAAACAAUGGUUAAAUUUGGUUGUCAGCUUCAUGGGCUUGUUGUGCGAUGUGGGUUGGAAAUGGAUUCUCCAGUAGCUAAUACAUUGAUUGCGAUGUACGCUAAAUUCUGUUCCUUGUUUGAUGCACGCAAGAUCUUUGAUUUAGUGUCACAAGCAGAUCGUGUGACUUGGAAUGGGAUGAUUGGAGGGUAUGUACAGAAUGGGUAUAUCGAUGAGGCGCUGGAUUUAUUUCGGGAAAUGGUAGCUAGCAGUGUCAAGCCAGACUCUAUCACCUUUGCCAGUUUGCUCCCCUCUGUUUCUAUAUCGGAAGAUUUGUACCAGGGGAAGGCGAUUCAUGGUUAUAUCGUGAGAAAUGAUGUAUCUAUUGAUGUUUUCUUAAAGAAUGCCAUUAUUGACAUGUACUUUAAGUGCAGGAAUGUUGUGGCAGCACGCAACAUAUUUAGCUGCAGCCCUGCGGUGGAUGUUGUUAUUUGUACUGCUAUGAUUUCAGGAUUUAUUCUUAAUGCCAUGAGUUCUGAUGCCAUAGAUGUUUUCCGAUGGUUACUUAAUAAGAAUAUGAGGCCCAAUCCUGUUACUCUAGCAAGUACCUUACCCGCUUGUUCUGGUUUGGCUGCUUUGAGAUUAGGUAAGGAACUGCAUGGUGUCAUUGUUAAGCGCAGCUUUCAAGGAAUACUUUAUGUGGGAAGUGCGGUGAUGGACAUGUAUGCAAAGUGUGGAAGAUUGGAUCUUGCUCAACAAGUUUUCAGAAGGAUGCCUGAAAGAGAUGUCGUUUGUUGGAAUUCGAUGAUCACGAGCUGUUGCCAGAAUGCUGAACCGGAAUUGGCCAUUGACUUCUUCCAACAGAUGGGUGCAAUUGGAGCCAAGUAUGAUUGUGUCAGCAUAUCCAGUGCUCUUUCUGCUUGUGCGAAUUUGCCAGCUCUCCAUUAUGGGAAAGAGAUCCAUGGCUUCGUUAUGAAAAGUGCAUUAAGCUCUGAUCUUUUUGUGGAAAGUGCGUUAAUAGAUAUGUAUGCUAAAUGUGGGAACUUAGAGGUAGCUUGGCGCGUAUUUGACUUAAUGGCACACAAGAAUGAAGUAUCAUGGAAUAGUAUUAUUGCAGCUUAUGGAAAUCAUGGCCGACUGAAGGACUGCCUGAAUUUGUUUCAUGGAAUGAGAAAAGAUGGAUUCCAGCCUGACCACGUCACUUUUCUUGCGAUCAUAUCUGCUUGUGGCCACUCUGGUCGAGUUGAAGAGGGAAAACACUACUUCAAUUGCAUGACUAAUGAAUAUGGGAUUACACCGCGAACAGAGCAUUAUGCAUGCAUGGUUGACUUGUUUGGGAGAGCUGGUCUCGUGGAAGAAGCAUUUGGCGUGAUUAAGAGCAUGCCAUUUGCUCCAGAUGCAGGCAUUUGGGGGACAUUACUUGGGGCUUGUCGAUUACAUGGCAAUACCGAGCUUGCUGAAAUGGCUUCUGAGCAUCUUUUGAGCCUGGACCCCCAAAAUUCCGGCUACUAUAUGUUACAAUCAAAUCUACAUGCUAACGCUGGCAAAUGGGAUAUGGUUUCUAAAAUUCGACAUAUGAUGAAGGAAAGAGGAGUGCAGAAAGUACCUGGUUACAGCUGGACUGAAGUUAACAACAGCACUCAUAUUUUUGUUGCUGCAGAUGCGAGUCACCCGCAGUCUGCUCAGAUAUAUCUUUUAUUAGACAAUCUUCUAAUAGAGCUGCAAAAUGAGGGUUAUGUUCCUCAAAUGAAUCUUCAAAUACAACAGUCAUCAUCCCCAGAACUCUGUUGAUUAUUAACCAACUACAAGCAUAGAGCUUAGCUAAGUGCACUGUAUCCACAUUUCAGGUAGCAUAGGCAUUUCAUCUUUGUGUUGCAACAUUGAUUAAUUUAUACUUGACCUUACAAGUGGAGGAGAAAUGUACCAUUUAUAGUGUUUUGUUUUCUGAUUCUUUCAUUUGAUUCAUUCAUAUAACAGAAUACAGGGAAAUGUGCAUCUGUUACAAAAUAAAGCUUUUAAUUCUGAUCUCCAUUCAGUUCAGCAGUUUUCUUAGUCAUAGCACUGCAGAAAAUGGCUCUACCAUGAGACCAUCCAAGGGUGUGGGGGCGUGGAUGAAGUGAGUUGAAAAUCACGAGGUUUCAGGUUGUAAGUUUCAAUCGAGACAAAAAUCUAGCUUCGGUGAAUAGAGUUAUCUGAUGCUGGUCGAAAAGGUCAGGAAACUCGUGAAAUUAGUCCAGUGCACACAAACUAACCUGAACACAACCAUUAUGGGGGAGAAGGGCUCCAACAUGAGUCAUUCAAAAGUAGUAGGCUUUAUUAUAAAAGGAAAGUUAUAUUGAUUAAAAAAAUAUCUUGUAAGAUUCACCAACUGAAUACAUUAAUAUGCUUUGUCUGACCAAAACUAUAAGUUUUCUAACCAAACUAGUAGAGUCAUGCAUCACAUAAAAAUGUCAUUUUUAUCCCUUUAGUUUUUCUUUAAAUAAAAUACUACUAAGUAAUGUUUUUGGAGUGUUACUGUAAAAAUUCAAUUGAGAUGUUCAAAACUUCAUUAUCCAUUAACUAACAUUUUUUGUAUGCUAAAAUUCAAAUAUUAUGGAUAACAACACAAGUACAAACACAUAUCCAGUGUUAUUCCAUAGCAUGAUAUCCUUUCAAAUUGACUCGACUCUUUUCUUUGCUCGGCCUCUCACUUCAUUUCGUUCUUCUUCUUUACCAUUGCUUGAAUGAAGACCGUUUCAAACCAGGUAAGUGUACACAUUACUUACCUCUCUCUUGGAAAUAUAUUUCGAUAAAGUCUCGAUGGAUAUCCUAUCUUAUUAUCUUGUUUCUACAUACAUAUUCAUAUUCUUAUUGACUUUAAUUUCCUUUCCUAGAUACACUGUCUUGAACCUCCAUACAAAAAUACAACUAGUGGCAAACUAAAACCUAUUAUGCAAUGAUGGAAUUUAAAGACCAAAACAUGAAAAACUGAUUCCAUUACACAAAGGAAUGGCUUCAUUACCACAAAUUCAAAACCCAAAAAAUAAGAAUCUUAAUACAAUUAUUGUCCACCUUUUUUCUCUACCACAUUUCUUCUAUGAAGAAUAAUAUAAUGUGCUUUUUGUACAUCAUUUUAAUGCAAUCCAGAAGCAAGUUUUUAACUUUUUUUUCUAGCAGCAAUUAUUAACAUUAGGAAAUAGGGUAGGAUUCUUUUUUCCAUUUUGGAAUUUACAUGUCCCAUCGCUAGCUAUUUAGUGGAAACUUGUCAUUGAGGUAACAAAUUAAGAAUGAAUUGAAAUAAUUGAAAAAAAAUAAAUAGGUGUGCUUGUUUCCUGAUUUUCCCUAUUAAAAGGAAAUAUAAACGUCAGUGAUAGAGUCAUAAUUUUUAUUAACGGAUUCAAAUUUGAAAAGUAAACACCUGUUGACAGAGAUUUGAAUGAACCCCUUGAUCCUACCUGGCUCUGCCCCAGAUAAUAGAGAAUAUAAUAUGAUUUCUUUCAUUCUAGUUUAUCUUUCACAUGCUUAUAUGAUCAUAAUAAAGAUCAGUAUACCGUGAAGUAAUUGAAAAAAAAAAUGAACUACAAUUAAAAUAUGAUUUACGACGCUAAUCUGCCUUAAUUGGUACUUACUACUUAAUAUAAGCCAAUUACUAAUGAAGUCGCUUAUAGUACGAAAUAUUAGUGUUUCUUAAAAGUAUUCACAUGUUUUUUUUUUAAACAAAAUCGUGAUAUGAAUCAUAUAUUAGUGUUUUUUAAAUAUAUACGCAAAGCACCUUUAAAUAUUUUUUUAGAAAAAUCUUAAUUUCCUCUCAAUCUAACUCGAUGCUAACUUCUACCAUAACGCAUGUCAUGUGGUAUAAAAUUUCAGUGUUUAAAGAGGAAUCAAACCCUUAAAAAGGAAUAGUAGAACUUAAUCGAGUUUCAUUUUUUGUUGAAUCAAUUACUAAAUUUUCGAAGCCUUCGCCACUACUCUAGAUCAACUUUGAAUUGCUCGAUUGAAAUAUGAGAUAAUAAAUUCAAACUCCAUGGUACUCCUAUUUAUAUACAUGAUAUUCCAACGAGCUAAUUAAUUCAAAUUCCAAAUAAUUAAAGCCAUUAAUUAUAUAUAGCAUCUUCAUUUUUUAUUUUAUUUUUCUCAAACUCUAAUCACAAUUAUUAAUAGUACUACUAAUCCGCUGCUUAAUAUUUCUUCUUUUCUUCUUCUCAUAAGCAAUCCCCCUCGCUUUGGCUUGCGUGUCUCUCACUUCCUUCAAAUACAACCUCACUGCUCGAGCACCGAACGGAUUCGUCUCCGUCCGUCCUCCGUUCUCUUCGAAAGCAGCGCGUAGCCUCCCAAUUAGCGCGUCAAGGCUCCCCCACGCCUGUUUCAACGGGCAAUUGCACGGCGCCGGCGGAUGAGGAUCGCCGAAAAACGGACAAUUACAGCUGUGAACUUUCGUUUUUCCGAAUUGAUCUAGGUAUUUUAAGAAUUCUAGAAUGUUCGCUCCGCUGCAUCGCGCAAGUAUCAGUGGUGGCUUGUGGUUUCUCAAGUACUGUCCGAAUGUGUUCCAGUCUCGCCGUUUUUGUAGCUCGUAACGGCUCACCGUCGGUGGUGACGAAGGCGGCGGUAGUGGUAGUGUCGGCGCCGGCGCCGAUGAUAGGGAGAAGUUUUGUGAGACGGAAUUAAUGGUACUAUAUACGUCUAACAUGGCUGUGUUACUUUUGUGUGGGUAUUUUUUGAAGUUGUUAAGACUCGCUAUAUAUAGGAUGUAAAAGAGUGCAAAUAGUUUUACUUCUUAUGGGUUCAUGAUUUGAUUCAUACCACUCGCGUUAGGGUCCGGUGUACCGGAUGAGGUUAUUCAAAGUCUCGAAUAUGAAUUUUGGAAUUAAAAAAAUUAUUGAUAAGAAGUAGUCGAGUGUUGUUUUUGAAUGAAAUAUAAAUUGUAUUAAUCGAAUUCUAAUAUAAAUAUAGAAAAUAAAAAAUAAAUUCACUUAUCUCAUUUAGCUUUUCAUUCGGCAUCAAGCGGCGUCUAAUAGAUUCUGUUAAUAGAAAGGAUAUUUGAUCCUAUAAUUUGAUGAGAAGACCAUAUUUAAGUCGAAAUAUAGUUUAAGGAUAUAUUUUGAGCUAUGUAUUAUUUCGAACAGUUUAAAGAUAUUUUUAACCCUUUUUGUAGAAAAAAUAAUUUCCAGAGAAAAUAUCUCAAUUACUUGGGGCUAAUUUUGGUAUGUUGCGAUAAAAUUUAGUACAAUUUUGUCUCUUGUGUAGUUAUUGAUUGUAAAAAUAAAUAUAUAUGAAGGCAAAUAAUUAGUAUCAAGAUAAGUUAUUUUAUUUAUAGUAGAAUAACAUUAGCAAAAAUAGUUUUUCGGGUAUAAAAUAACAAAAAUGUCAAAAACAUUUUCCAACUAAAUAAGGUAAAGGGAUAUUAUUGUAAACAAAUCAAAUCAUUAAUAAAUAAUAAUAACAAGAUAUUUAUUUUUUUUAAGCUCUUUAUUUCUUUUUUACUCCACAAGUAAAGUUCGUGUAUAAGUGUGAAUAAAUUAAAUAUAUUGUGAUUUGGUUCAGAAGAUCAAAUUAUUUAACGUUUAAUGUGUAAAUUUCCAGAACUUACAAAUAAAACUUUGAAUUAUAGUCUACCUAGUUAUGAUGGUAUUAUAACGUGGUAGUAGUAUUUAUUUCAUUAGAUCCAAUAAAUAGCAAAGAUUGUUAUGCAAUAUUACCACAUAAAUUAUUAUUUAAAGAAUUUUAGAAAUUCUAAUUUUCUUGUACUCAUAAAAUAAGAAGUAGAAAUAGUGAAGGGAGAGUUGCUAGACCAUUUAUAGGAAAAUGUAAUGGCCCAUAGAGAAGGAACAAAAGAAGAUAAUGAGACCAAUAUGAGUUAUAAUAAUAUAGUGAUAUGUAUUGUUGAAAUAUCAUCUCGAAUUAACACUCAUGCUUUAAUAUGUGCUUCGAACACUCGACUAAUUUAUUUUAUGAAAACAAAAUAUAUGGAAGGAUGGGGCCCAAAGAGUGAGGACAAAUUAAAGUAAUAUCACUUCAACUAGUCAUGUCAAAUGUAACUUCAAUUGUUGUCUUAUCAGUUUCACCCUUCCUUUUAUCCGUGUGACAGUGGGUUAACUUGUAUUGACCAUUGGAAUGUUUCGUGUGGCCGGUAACUUUUUUGUUUCCUCCCUUUGCCUUUUUUAUUUUUUAUUUUUAACUUUUAGGUGCCACUAGAAUUUAGAGCAAAUAACAAAACUUGAUCCUCUCUACAUCUAACGAUAACAAUAGUUUAUUUAAAUUAAUUUCAUAUAGUGAAAUUCAAAAUAAAGUGAUGUAUACAAAUUUUAUUUUUAUCUCAAUAUUUCUGACUAGGUAACUUUUUAUUUUAUAAUAUAUAAUUAUUGGUAGUAUUCAUUGUUGGCCUCAGUACGCAGAGUAUGUUGUCUUGGUUUUAAUCAACAUGACUCUUUAGACAUCAAAAGUUGUCUUUGAACUUCCAACUUAGUAUCAAAAAUCACUAUGAGUCUAUCCGAUCAAAAUUAUCUCAUUGGUGAGGCGGAGCUACCGGUAUGGAAGGGUGGUCAGCGAUCACUGAGUUUUGGCCAAAAAUAUUUUUUAACUAUAUGUCAAACUUAAAUUAUAGCCCUAAAAUAUCAUUUUUAGCAGAUAACUAUAUUCAAAAUUAAACUAUAUCUUUAAAGUAUCAUUUUCAGCAGAAAACAUCCUUUAAGUAUUUUUACGUGAACAAUUUUCAUCCUUUUGUUAGAUAUUGUCAAAAGAUUAAGGGAUCUUACGAAAACAUGAGCAAUUAAUGUGACUAUCAACAAAUUUUAUUAUGCAUAAUUUCAUUAAAUCUACAAUAAAUUCUUGAAAAUAUAAAAAAUCUUAGACACUGUUGCUUAUGAAAACUAUAAAUGAUUAGAAGGUGUGAGCGUACAUGAUUUGCCUUUUGCGCAACAGAAAGAAGUUGGAGAUUAAUUAUUUUUAUCUUUUUCUUAACCAAUUAAAUUAUUAGAUUUUUGGGUCAAUCUAAUAUCGAAGUGACCAAAAUAUUGAUUAUGUCUUGUAUUUGAGUUUCAUUCUACAUUAUUUGAAGGGGAAGUCUCCAAAAAAUGUCGCUUCUAGCAUAUUUAAUUGAGAAGAAACUAUUUAAAUUAAUAAUAUUUUAAAUUAAAAUUAUAUGAAAAAUGAAUGAAAAAGACGGUCAAAUUAAAAGAUUUUGCAUAAUUCUUAACUCAAUUAAGAAAAAGUUCGCGAUAAUAUUCUUGGCAUAUAUAAGAAUAACAAUUAGGAAGGGACGGCUUAUUUUUUGAGGGAUAUAUCAAUUAAGGAUGAAAAUUAUUUACUUUAAAAUACUUUAAGGAUGUUUUAUGAUAAGAAUAUACUUUAAGGCUGUAAUUUGAGUUUGAGGUAUAGUUUAAUGAUGAUUUUGGCUAAAAUUUCAAAAUAAUUAAUCUCCAACCUUUUUCAAUUACGGAAAAGGCGAAUCAUGUACGCUCACACCUUUCAAUCAUUUUUAAUUUCCAUAAGCAACAAUGUCUAAGAUUUUUUAUAUUUUUCAAGAACUUCUUGUAGAAAAUAAUGAAAUUAUACAUAAUAACUUUUGUUGAUAGUCGCGUUAACUGCUCAUGUUUUUGUAAGAUCCCUUAGUUUUUGACAAUAUCUAACAAAAGGAUGAAAGUUGUUCACUUACAAAUACUUAAAGGAUGUUUUCUGCUAAAAAUGAUACUUUAAGAAUGUAGCUUAAAUUUGGGGUAUAGAUAAAUGAUGUUUUAUGCUAAAAAUAAUAAUUUAAGGAUGUAGUUUAGAUUUCGGGUAUAGUUAAAAAAUGUUUUUGGCCAAAUUAUACCCUAUAUAUAAAUAAAAUGCUAUAUAAUAUUGCGAUAUAUAAUUAAUUGAACACCUAUGACAAAGUCUAUUGGUCUGCUGGUAAGCAUGUUCAUUUACGUGCAAGAGGUCCUCAGUUGCAACAUGUUUUUUAAAACAUAAAACACACUCUCUUUUCAAUUAUGUGUAAGAGAUCUGUAUUAAGUGACUUAUUAGGUAUACACAUUCUCAAGAUUUUAUUUUAAAGAAAAAAUUAAAGAUUAUUAUUUAUUAUUAUACUUUUGAGUAUUUCUAAAGUAUCUUUCUAUUUAGAAAAAGUAAAAUAGUUAAGAAUUUGAAAAUAGGAGAAAAAAACUCAUCAUAAUCGUGAAAGUCACUCUCAAAAGGCUCAUCAUAGCCCUUUUUGUGACUCGACUCAAGCUCAUCAUACAUUAUUCGAUAUUUGAACUAUUCAGUUAUUUAAAUUACAAAAAACACUCGACAAUUUAUUUCAUAUGAACUAGAGGGAGUAUAUUUCAAGCAAAAAUUAUUUUGUGACUUUUGUCCAUUAGUUUUGAUUUAUUCCAUCGAUAGUUUUAUCAUUUUAAAUUUCCGCAAGAUUUAGUUACUAAGUGAUGUGUAAUUUAAUUUCUCACACAUUUGCAAAAAUAAAUUUUGUGUACCCACUUCGCUAAAAAAAUUAUCGACUCUUUUAAAGUUUGAACAACCUCGGCGAAAUUUCUGGCUCCGCCACUAUUUGGCGAGUAACAUACUCAUCAUACACUUUCUUGGAUAUAUCGCGUUAAUUCAUUCAUCAUCAAGAUAAAUGAUUUUGAUCUAAAAGUUGAUGUCUGGUGCAACCUCUUCAUAGUGGAAAAGUGCUUUUUUUUCUUCUAGGUCUUGACUCCUUCAUACAUGUCCUUGAUCUUCUAAAUAUACGUCAUAGAGUCUGGCAUUAAUACAUACAUUUUAUGAACCCUAAACACCCAAAGGGACCUCCAAAAAAAUUUGGUGUGUGUUUUAUAGAGGGUCCCUUUUAGUGUUUAGGGUUUAAAAAAGUGUCCGUUUUGAUAUCAGACUUCUACAUACCUCCAAUUUCCAAACAUCUCCAAAAAACCUCCUUCAAGACUCUGUCUAAAAAACUUUCCAAUCAAUGAACAUCAUAUGCAAGUUUUUCUAUUUGACUGUACUUAUUUAUCAAUCUCUUUAUAAUGACUUUUGAAUACAUGUGAAACAUGCUUAGAUAUCAAGUGUAUAGAAUAAAUUAUAUCUAAUUUUGACUCAUAUGUAUCUAUUUUGUAAAGUUCUAAGAGAAAAUAUAAUUAGAAAGUAUAGUUUCAACCGAUAAAUAACACAAAUGUAAAUGUGUGUUUUGUGUUGUUUCCUCUUAAUUUAAAUACAAUUCAUUCAAAUUUGAAUGCACUAGUGAUCUACUUUUUUAUUAGUUCAAUCUAUUUCAGUUUGUUAAAAUAUUAGUUCAUAUAUAAAUCAAAUCGGUUAAUGAAAAGUGAGUUUUAUGUAUUUUGAAUUAGUAUUUUAAUUAUUAAAAAUUAUCUAUUUUUUUUUAAUACAUACUAAAUUUUAUACUAUAGAAAAUGUUAAAAUUUCUAAAUUAGCUUGUUUGCUCUUGAAAUCGAAACCUCCCCACAAAUUGGGACAGCGGGAGUAAUUUCAAUUUUGCUAUUUGAAAAAACAGAGGAUUUUCCGUUGGGGUUUAACCGGAUCGGGCCUUUUCAUCUCCGGUAAUCUUUCUCGUUUUGUAAUUCUCAUCGUACUUCUGCUUUGUUAUUAACUGUACUAGUUGUGGUUUCAGUAAAGUUUAGCUUCGUAUAGUUGUGAAUUCAUUCUCUUGUGGCGGCUUAAAUCAAGGGUUUGGUUGUCAGUGUUAUAGCAAACGAAGAUUCUGUUCAGAAGAUUUAGAGUUCUUUUUUGUUGGAAAUUUUGAGGUUGUGAUUUUGACCUAAAACUGUUAAUUUCAUAGAUAGAGAGAUAUUUGUAUGUUAGUAAUAGGGAACCUCUAGGGUUAUGAAAACCUAAAUUAUUGAAUAUUGGAAUAGAUGGGGUUCUAAUGGAGAGAAUUCAUAUAGUAAACCCAAACUAAUUCGGGAUUGAGGCAUACUUCUUGAUUACUGAGCUAAAUUAGAGAUAAAGAGUAAGAGGUGCAGUUGGGAUUGAUUCAUUUCUCACUUUAAUAACUAUCUAAUUUUACAGUUUUAGGUUUUGUAAACUUUUUUAGUGCAUACUAAUAACUAUCUACCCUUUUGGUUUGCUUGGGAUUGCUAGCUCCUUAGCUUUAGUUUAGGAUACUUGUAUGAGUGCUGAGAUUUUUUUUAUGCCCUUCCGAAUUAGAGCUAAGCGGUCGCAUAUUUUGUAAUCUGGCAUCUACCCGAUGCCCAUUCAAGGAUAAUUUUUAACCUUAUCAAAAAGACAUAGUUGCAGCAGUAAUUUUUUCCGAUGUACCUAUUGAUUUAACAAUGUGAACACCAAAUUUAUGCAGAUGUCAUGGUAGUUUUUACUUGGAGAUAAGAGUUUACUGUUUGUUAAAUUUCAAAGAAGAGUUUACUGUUUGUUACGAGGGAUGGGCUUCAGUUUUAGAGGGUCUCACUUGAUGGCUUUGUUCUCUUUGGUACAAAAGAACUAUUCUUGUAAUAAGAUGUGGAUGAAAUGUCAUUUAGGAAUGAUGGGAAAUAUAUUUUUGAAGUGGUUUGUACAUUUCAGAAUCUUAGGAAUUAUUUCUCUUUGCUACUCAGUCCAUUAGGCCAGUUCAUGCUUUGAUAGUUUUGGCUAUUUGUGUAGUACUUGAUUACAUCUGAUGACAUUAAUUUUAUCCAUUUUAGAACCAAAGUACCAACAGAUUUCAGCUCAACAGCCAUUAGUUAUGGACCACUUUGGAGGAGGAAGUUGGACAAUGAUCCCCAACAUCCAAACUCACAGUAAUCCUUCGACACCCUCCAAUCAAGACAAUUUAUUUCUUCAGCAACAGCAAUUUCAACAACAACAGUUCAUUCAACCGCAGCUCUAUCAGCAACAACAGCAGCAGCAGCAGCAACAACAACAACGGUAUCAACAACAGAUGCAACAGCAACAAAUGCAGCAGCAGCAACAGAUGCAGCAGCAGCAAAUGCAGCAACAACAACAACAGCAGCAGCAAAUGCAGCAACAACAACAACAGCAGCAGCAGCAACAACAACAACAGCACCACCAAUCACUUGCCUCUCACUUCCAUCUUUUACAAGUAUUGGGCAAAAACCAUGAUCUGUAGCUUGCUAUUUUAAUAGAGUAACGAGACAUUUCUCUUUCCUAGUGAGACCUUUUGUUCUAACUUUUAUUGUCAUCUUACAGCUGGUGGAGAAUUUAGCUGAUACAAUUGAAAAUGGAAAUCGAGAUCAGCACUCAGAUGCAUUGGUUUGUUCAUUUCUUGAUUGAUGCAUUAUAUGUUAGUUUUCCAUUUCUUCUACAUUAAACCGGGUGUAUUUUUCCUCACCAGGUAACUGAAUUGAAAAAUCAGUUUGAGAAGUGCCAGCAGCUGUUGACAUCAAUAUCAGGGUCUAUUAGCUCAAGAUCUAUGGUAUUUCAUUUUCACACAUAUCCUUUGAUUUCUGUUGUAACUUGUUCUGAACACACCCCCAACUCAAAAAAUAAAAAGAAAAAAGAGAGAGACUCCAACAAAGAGUUAAGCGCAAUAAUAUGAAAACAGAACUUCAAAAUUAUUCUUUUCUGGAAGAGUUGGAUUGUUUUUCUUUUGGCUGUGUUAUUGCUUUUAAUUGUGCUUUUCCAUUUGGGCCUGUUUGUUCAACUUAUAGUUGUGAAGAAUUUUACUGAAAAGUGGGGUUCAAUAUGUUUGAAACGAUGUUGACUUGAACAAAGUUGCUCCACAAAUUCUUAUUUGGUUGCAUGUUUUGAUGCUUAAAUAUGGGUAAGAUAAUUGACCAGUCCUGUGUUCUUUGGACAGACAGUUGAGGGACAAAAGCGCAAAAAGGCAGAGUGCGAACAAAUGCUAAAUCAGCGAAGGUUUGUAUUAUAUAUAUAUAAAACACACACACACACACAUAUAUAUAUGUGUGUGUGUGUGUGUUUCUAAUAUUGUCUACUGAAAUUUGUAUAAUUAUUAUUUGCUUCAUCUGAUGGUCAUGUUUCAUGCUUAAUUACAGGGAUCUUAUUUCGAGGUACAAAGGCUCAGUUGAGGAGAUUAUUAACUCUGAACUAUAGCUCAUACUCGCAUUUUAACCAAGGUAAAAUUAUGCGCUGCAAGUUGUUUUUGGCCUGCCCAAAAGAAGUUGAGUUGAAUCACCUGUCAUUUUGAUUUUACUAGAUGCAAGUGAAACAACUAUGCAGUGUUCUGGAUGCAGUCAAUUUGUAGUUUGUUGUAAUACAUGAGAAUAAAGUGCUCAUGAGAAAUUUUUAUUGAUGUUACUGUUGUAAUCACUAUGGCGCUCGCCACAAAUGACUGCUCUGACUGUACUGAGAACAUAAAAUGUUUUGGGCCAAGGUUAUGAUAAAGUAAUGCAUUGCCUUCUUAACUGACUGAUUGUAUUUAAAUCUAAUUACAUCAAAGUGAAGCAAAUAAUUGAAGUAACGGUGCUACCCGGGCUCUAGUCAGGCACCUGGAUAGCUGAUUGUUCAGUUUAAUACUUGACUAGAAAUAGUCUAAGCAUUUAAAGUAAUUUAAGUAGCCUGGAGAGUUGAUCUUUCCAUAUAUGGACUUUGAGGGCAUCCGGGAGUGAUCUAUGUUACAUAUCACGUACAUCGAGAACUUCCCGAAGACAUGGCUUUAGAAAAAUGUAUGUUUGCCUAAGUUGUUGGGAGAUUUGAUUUGCUUAAAGAUUAAUAUUUUUGUUACCUUAUGUAUUUUUUUGAGUUGAAUUCAAUGCUACAUAGAAUUCAAAUCAGCAUUAGGAACUUCACAAAUAAGUUGGACAUCGCUAGCUAUCGAAAUAUCUAAGUUAUUAUUUGCAUCAUUCAUAAUCUAUUCUCAGAAAUCGUUAAAUAUUCAUUUAAAGUGCACUUUAACUCUGAAGCUAGGUGAAGUCCGAGUUGGGCGCUUUGCCUUGCUUAAUUGACACCUUGGCUCAGGCAUCAAGUAGCUAAAUAGUGUCCUUGUCAUUUUUAGGAAGUUAGACUAUAGAGUAAAUGUCAACUUAGUUGACGGAUUGAUACAAAAUGCUGUUUUAUAUAUUCUUAAUCGUUACGAAUAAGAAACUAGAAAUUAGAAAUACGAAACUAGAAAAGAAGAAUAGUUAGUGAAGACUUACAACUGAAUUACAUCCAAAUUAGAAAUUCAGUUUCACUUAAUCAUAGUAGUUCUGUUAAGUUUUCUAUCCAAAUGAUUAGUGUAGUAUUAUUUUUUGUGUAGUUAUUUUUCCUUGCUCUACAUAUAUAUUUUUAAUAUUAUUCAUCAGUGUUUUUCUUUGCAUAUGACCUCACUUAAGCUUUUCCUCUCAAGUCCCAACAGAUUUUGGUGCUUUUCUACGCGUUUCACCUAUAAUAUCUCUCGAUAGUUUCAAAUGGAGUAUUCCUCUAGUAGCUGGCUCAAAUUCUUAUUUCAGGAUAUAUUUUGUAAUCCAUGCUGGAUCUGCAUACCAUCUACUGAAGUAAAACAUCUUGAGUCACUAAAAUUCCUCUAUGCUGGUUCUGAGAUCUUGCCAUUUUUCUGUUUAUAUAUGUGACAGAACUUGGCUAAAGUGAAAUAUGAAACAUUAUCAACAAUGAUAUGACGAAACUUUAUUGAACAUCUGAAUUUUCCCAUCUGAUGAAACUUUUUCUUGGCACAGGUAAAACACACUAGCAAACUUCUCCGAGCAUUAGCAUCAUCAUUGUCAUGAGGAAUUUGCAGAAGAACAUUAAAUUCGAGCUAGCGAUGAUGAAUCCUCGAGACUCCAUCAUCAGAUAUGUCUUUAUCAUGUAUUUCCUACAAAACCUAUUUAGUGUUUUAACCUUGUUUGGAUGCAAAUGAUUGCAUCUUCCGCCAUUUAUUUCUAUGAGACUAGACAUCUAGAACUGUUUCCUUUUUUGACCUGUUGACUGCCUUAGCUCUAUUACAAUCAUCAAACCUUAAUUGGAGUUUGCUGGUACCAAUGGUUAGGAAGAGCUACUACACUAGGAAGGCGGCCAAGAUAGAUGACCUACACACAAAAAUUAAAUAAUUCGUAUCGGCAUUUAUAUCAAAUCUCUGUAUGUAUUUGAAUGUUCGUUUAUAAUUGUAAGAUGAAUGUCAUUGAUUUGAGCAAAUAACAGUCGUUAGAAUGGGAUUGUUAACUGUGAUUUGAAUCAAAUACUAUGAAUUACUAAUACUAUAUGCUUUGUGGUCCUUAAAAUAGAACAAUAAUUUAUGGUAUUAUUUAGAGGGUAUUGAUACUUACCCACCUCAACUACACGAAAACAUAAUUUCUUUGUACAAUUUGACGUCAUUUAAUUUUAGGUAUUAGCACUUUUGACUUCUGUACGAGUGAGAGGAAAAAAUAAUUCUCUUACCCAAAAAAUGCCACAUUUUAUUAAAGCUUGAAAAGAAAAAUUUCGUUGAACUCUUAUUUUGGAAAAAGGGUUAAAAAAAAUGUCUUUAAACUGUGUGAAAGGAACAAAAACGCUGUUAAUUCUUUGGCGCACAAAUGCUCUUACUGUCAAUACUUUAGUUCAAAAAUGCCCUUGCAGUCAAUAAUACUUUGGUCCAUAAAUGCCCCAAUAGUUACAAAAUGAGUCGAAAAUGCUUUUUUUCAAAUAAAUAUAUUAUUAUUUUUCUUUUUAAACAUAUCUUCUUCCUAAUUAAAAUAUUAUUAAAGAACACUAUUCUUGUUUCUUUCUUCUAAAAUCACUUUGACAAAUAAAAAUGGUUGGAAAUAUUCUUUUUCUUCUAAGUCUCAUUUCAUCAAUUAAAUGGAAUAAUUUCAUGUAUCCUUUUGAUAAAUAAUAUAUGCCAUAUAUAUAAAUUGAUAGUAUAUCUAUCACUAAUUUAUAUUUAUAUAAUAAUAAAAAAUAUUGAUGGUAAAAUAAAAUUUGUUUCAUUUUUUUUUUUGAAAUAAAGUAAGAUAAACAUUUGCUAUUUUUUUAAAAAAAUUAAUUGAAAAAAAUGUGUCAAAAAGAAAAUAAUACAAUAUUUAUUUGGAAACUAAUUUUUUUGACUCAUUAAAUAACAAUAAGGGCAUUUUUGGAUCGAAAUAUUAAUGACGAGUAUUUUUGGACCAAAAUACAAACGAGACAUUUUUAUUCUUUUUGCGCAAUUUAAAGAUAUUUUUAAAUUAAAUUAUUGACGAUAAAGACAUUUUUAAGCCAAACUAUAAACAAAAGAGAGAAUAAACAAAAGAGAGAAGAGAGUACUGUUGCAAAGCAAGUUAAGUUUAAAUAUAAUUCAAAAGCAUAAGCUAGGCAUUUAAUAAUUAGUGCUUAAAAAUCAAGUAAGGAAUGGAAUUUUCUUUUUGUUUUUCUCUGCUUUUUUCUUUUGGGUUUAAAUAAAUAUAAUAAUAUUACAUUUAUGUUUUUUUCCAGCUAAUAUAAAAAUAGAAAUUCAAGUAAUUUAAUGUCAUUAAUGGAAUUUCGGUUGCAGUCAGAUAUGCUCAUAAAUUAGUAUGUGAUGAAUCUCGUGAACCUUUCAUUUUCAAAAAAUUUCCCUCCUUUCACCUCAAAAUCAAAUCAGUUUUUCGAAAAUCGAAAGAAUAAGAAGCUGAUGAGUUCUCUCCGAUCCCCAAAAUACAUUUAGAUUACCACAUAAGAGAGUGAUUUCAGGUUAUAAAACAGUAAAUCGUAAUGGGAAGUGGCGAUGAUUAUUGCAGUAUCUCCAUUAUCACAGCUAGGGCUUGUACUGAGAUUAGAAAAAGAAGAUCGGAAACUUGUAGCCGGAGUUUUACUACUUGUAUAUCGCCGAGAUGGAUUUUCUCCCGGUGGUUCGAAACAGGGGAGAGAAAUAAGGACGCAGAGAAAGUGAAUCAGCUUCAAUGUGGAAGCACCAGAAAUAAGGGGAAGAAGACGAAGAAGAAGAAGGAGACGGGAUUUGACACCAAAUCAUCUACCGCAUUGGAAGAUCAAGGUAAAUGUUCUUCACCUUGAUGCUCUGUUUUGGGCUCCCAUUAAUAUGACUUCGAGCUGCAUAAAGUUCUUAUUAAAACAGUGAAACACUUUCUAAUAAAAAAAAUUUCAUUCUCAAAGUUUGGAAGUUCGAGAAUUUUGAUUAUGAGAAAAAAAAAUUAUAUCUAUUUUAUCAUAAUUUUUGAUGGUACAGUCUGUUUGAAUCAUUGUUAUUCAUUGUUUCAAAAUGUAUUAUAUUUUACUGUGUUUGGCUAGACUCUAUUGUUCGUUGUUGUUUGAUGAUAUUUUUAUUGUAUGAUUUGACUGCAUCAUACUGUAUUGUAAUUUAUAAAAUUUACCAAAAUAUUCUUAAUAAUUCUAUAGUAAGAGAUUUAACUAGAAUUAUAUGAUAUAUUAUGUCAGGAUAUAAUUAGAAAAAGAAAUUAAGUUACAAUAAGAACACAUCAAAUUAAUUGUUCCAUAAAAUGAGAAUUUUUAUUAUUAUUCAACAACGAAAUUUAACAAUAUAAUACAAUAUAUUGUAAAUAUGAUAACAAAACAGUACAAUAUAAUGCAUAUAUGAUUUUAUAUUGUGUAUAAAAAUAUAUAUGAGUCAUUUUAAUAAGUAACGAAGAAGAUAUUACCUUUAAAUGCUAAAUUGUUACGACUUAAAUACAUGAACAUAUACCAAAAGAUUUAAAAAUUAUGUUUAUUCGAAAUAUAUUUUUAAAAAAGUUUUAAGUCAGGGAGAGAGCCACCAAACGCUAAAGAGAAAUAAAUAAUUGGAGUAUACAUUUCGAAAAUUUAGGUGCAUGGAAAAAAUAUCAUAUUGAUGUCAUUUAAGGCUAGGCAUUUGCUCAUCGUUUUAAUCUAUGUUUGGCCAAUCAAGAGGUGAAAAGUUUAUUUUAUUUUUUUUGCCAUUUCAUAUUAAUUGAAUUUUUGCAAUUUUUUUUUAUAAUUCAAGAUAAAUGUUCCAUUUUUUUUAUAUAUUUGUUUAUUUAUACUUUUUUAGAUGAUAAAGUUCAAGAGAGUUAAUUGCUUAUAUUUAUAAUUUUAUUUUUAAAAAUAAUUUGACAAUGAUUAAAAAAGUAAAAGUGGAAAGUAAUAUUUAAUUUAUAUCCUUAUUUUUUUCCCAUAAUAGGUGUGCAUAAUAUGAAUUAAAUGAGAGUAUAAAAAAGUGAGGUACUUGAUGGAACUUCUGGAAAGGAAUAAAUGUUUAUGUGGGAAAAUAUUAAAUAAGAAAAGAGAUAAUUCUUAUGACCAUAAUGAUCCAAAUAUAAUAAUAAUAUCUUAACUUUAUAAUCUGUUUUUUUUUUGGUUGAUAUUCUUACUCCUUUUAAUAUUUAAAAUUUUCUCAGUAAUUAGCCAUUUCCUUUAUUUCAAAAGAAAAUUUUAAUAUUAAUUUUUCACUUUUGCCAUUUUAAUUUUUUCUCAAAUAAUUCUUGAAAAUAUAAUUCAUUUACAGUAUAAUUGUAAAUAUGAUCAAUUAACUCUUUUGUCACUUUAGAAAAUAUAAACAAAAAAAAAACUGUAUCUCUUUUAACGUUGAAUAAUUCACUAUUAUUAUGCCAUGGCAUAAGUUGGUCCAUGAUAUUUGUUAUUUUAUAAAAUUAAUGUAUAAAUUGCAAUAGGGAUAAUACAUAAAUGUAUUUUAUAACUUGGCUUCAAAUUACGUUUAUGCUCUUCAACUUUGGAUGUGCACAAAUAGACACUUAAACUUGUAUAAAGUUGAACAAAUAGACACACAUGUCCUACAUGACAUUUUUUGUCCUACGUGGUGUCUUACGUGUAUUGUGUCAUAUAGGAGUCAUGUGUUUAUUUAUUUAAAAGUUGAAUAACUAAAGUGACGGUUUGUGCAUUAUGAAAGUUGGAGGUCAAAGUUAAAAUUUAAAGCAAAAUUUAGGGUCCAAUAUAUGUAUUAUGUCAUCGCAAUAUUUUUAUUAUUAUAUCCUUGAUAGUUAAUUAGUCUUGAAUAAUAGUUUGACCAACUUAAUAAAUUAAUAAGUAAUUAAUGUUCAUUGUAAUGAACAUUAAUUACUUAUUAGUUUUCAUAGAUUGGUCAAAUAUAAUCAACUAUCAAGGUAUAAUAGAAAGAAUAUUAUAAUUUAUGAAUUAAUUUUAUGAAAUAUUAAAUAUUACAGAUCAACUAUUUUUAAUAAGAAUGACAUAUAAAAAAGAGCGGAGAAAGUAAUUACUUGAUACAUUGAAAAAUUACUCUCGCCAUUGCACUACUCUUAAAAUCUAAUUCUGACAAGAAAUUUCAACAAACAAAUUAAUAAUAAAAGACAGGAAAAAAAAAUAAUCUUGAAAAUUGAAGCUUCAAUGAAAAUCCAUGAAAAUACUCUUUUCGAAAUUAUUUAUGAGAAAAUAAAUUUAGAGUCACUUUUCAAAAGAUUAGUCAAACACAACUCAGAUGGUGGUCUUUAAAUAGAUUAGUCAAAUGCAAAUUGUUCAUGUACUUUAUUUUCAAAAUAAGUUAUUUUUAGAAGUUUGUCCAUAUACUCUAUCCGUUUAUAAUUAAUUGUCAUAUUUUUUUUAGAGUUAAAUUAUAAGAACUUUGAUAAAAAUUUUAUGAUAUAUUUUUCAUCAUAUUGAUAUGCAAAAAGUUAUAAUUUAUAGUAUUUUUCGUAUAGUUUUUGAAUAUCUAUUUUUUUUUAAAAAAAUAUCGAAUUAAUGUAAUCAAUUUAAUUUUAAAAAUUAGUCAAAUUGACUUUAAAAAAAUGUAACUUGACAAAUAAAAGUGGACUGAGAUAGUAUUAAUUAUUGGAUAUGACCAUGUUUGCUUUGAAAUAGAAAACUAAGACAUACUGCGUGGGCAUUUGACCAUGUUUUAUCGUGAAAUUAAAAAAAAAGUAAUUUUUAUUUUUCAAAUUGGAUAAUGAUAUCUGAAAAUUCGAAUUUCAAUAAAUAAGAUUCAAUUAUUGAAUUUGUUCAUUUUGCAGUAACAUAAAUGAAAUUUCUUACUUCAAGUAGAGAGUCUCAUGCAAUCCAUAUAAGAAUUUGCCUUUAUUAAGUGAAUUAACAUGCAAUCCAUAUGAGAAUUUGCCUUUAUUAAGUGAAAUUUAUUCGUGAUAUAAUAAGCCUAAGCAGAUUUAUAUAUUUCAUACUACAUUUUGUGAUUUGAUCUUCCCUGAAACACAUUAAUCGACAUAUUCAUGCAGGAGGCGAAAAGAAAGCAGAUUCUAUGAACUUAGGCAUCGGAUUUGGUCUAAUUUAUCUGUUUAACUCUACCAAGAAUGAGCUCAACAAGAUCGUUGAGAUUCGUCGAGAAAUGGAAAUCCUGCUUCAUAAUUCCAAGAUGGAGUUACAAAACCAAAGAAGAAUCAGAAGUAAUCCAUCUGGUGCAUCAAAUUUAAGAACCAAAAUCUCACACUAUGAUUCCGAUUCUGUUGAACAGUUUGCAUACUCAACUGAUAUAGAAGAAGAAUCAGAAAUCACUUGCAGCCAUGAUGAUGAUCACCCUUUAAACUGCAAAUUGAUGAAAGGAAAUGGAAAGAAUUCGGAAAUGAACCAACUUGAAGCAGAGCUUGAAGUCGAAUUAGAACGUUUGCAGUUCCAUUUAGAUUCAGAUAUUAUGUUCAAAUAUCCAACAAAACCAGAUGCAGAGGUAAUCCACCUUUGAGUAUAACAUAACUAUAGUCAAUUGCUUUUAGUUUAGCAUGAGCAUCGCGAAAAAAAGGUAUAAUUUUUUAUACUUGUUUUGUGGCAGAUUGUGGAUGAAUAUAGCUCAGGGGAAGGAAGCCAGAGCACAAAAUUUGCAGAGGUCUACAACCCUAACUGUGGCGUUCCUGCCGAAGAAUUGAAAAGGAGGCUGCAUGAGCUUCUACAGACAAGGCAAGAAGAAAGGAUCAAAGAACUGGAGUCAGCUUUAGAAUCCACCAUGCAAAAACUUGCAGACAAAGAAAAAGAGGUAUGUUGGUGGAGAGACACUGCUAAGGUCAUUUCUCAACAUGCUCCAAGUCGUCUUUCACUUACUAAGUUGAGUUAAAAACAACACCCCACCAACCUUGAAGGAAACUUUCCAAAGCUUUUUUGGAUAGAAAAAAUUAGGAAAAGGUUGAUUGCCUAGGAAAAGUGAACCUUUUUCCAUGUAUACAGUUUCAUGUAAAAGAAAGGUGAAGGAAAUAAACCACAACUUAUAUAUCAAAUACUAAAGUUUAGUUUGCAAUAGACUGAUAGUAUAUGGAGGCAUCAUGAACAAUAGCAUCAUCACUGGCUUAAUAACUUCCAUAAGAAGAAAUUUAAGCCCCUUUCGACAUGUUUGGUGUGAGCAUUUAAAAAAAUAAAGUAAUUAUCGCCAUGUAUGUGGCGGCAUAGAGACUACCUCAAUACAUAGGUUCUUUGCAACUACGAAAGAAACACAUGCGUACUGUUGACUGUUAUUAUUGGACAUGAAAUAUUGUUAAUGCAACAACAAAUGUGGGAUGACCUGUAAACUUUGUAGUAUUAUUUUGCUCUCUCAUUGAAUUCUUCCAGAAGUUUCUCAAUCGUCUUCCUUGAUACAAUUUUUUCAAUCUCGAACACCCUCAUCUCAGCAGGUAGACCUGCAGAAAAAAAAGCAAAAUAUGGCCUUCAAAACAAAUAUAAUCUUGAGAUGGAUCAAGUUCUAUAUGAAAAAAUAUAGCUCACUGACCUGAUUGGCGCAACGCUCUGAGUGGUAGUAAAUUUGCAUAGGAGUAGAUAAAAUGGAGCAGGCUUUUCAUAAGCUCAGCAGAUUCAGCUGAGACUAGAAUCUCCCUCUAAAAUUGAAAGCCAGGAACAUGAUUAGAUUGCUUGAACAUCCACAAAAUUGUAUCAAAUAUAAGAUAUAUCCAGAUUAUACAAGUACACACAAUACAUAGUCAUCUAUGCACUAUGAUCCUUCAUCCUAGUUUCUACCCUUAAUAUGUAAACUCACUGCAAAUUCAAGAUGUGGCCUUCUCAUGUUAUAGUUUACAGAAGCAUGAAAAAAGAAAACAAUUAUAGCCAUGAUCUCGUUUACCAAAAUCUGAAGCUGUUAUGCCAUCAUCAACAUCGGUUAGCAAGCUCCAUUUGGAUCAUGUUAAGUUCUCUUCUGUUUCCAAAUAUAAGUAAAGUCGCAACAAGAAUUUAGAAAUAACAGAUUUACAUUGUUUUAGAACACAAAUUUAGUACUAAUCCCCUAGGCACUAACAGUAUAAAGCUAAACUAGAAUGAUAUGAUGACAGACACAAAAUGGAGAAAGCACUCAAAGAGUAAGUCAGUAAACCUUGAAGCUCUUCUCUGCAUCAUAAUACCCUGAAACGAUCAAGAGGAUGUGAAGCUUCUCUAGUUCUGCAUAUACAAAAGAAAAUGAUUGUCAAGCCAAGCUGUGUUAUCUCUCUACUGUGAAAGUUAUAUUUGACAGAAGAGUUAUAGUAAAAAAAGUUCAAAUUCUCUACCAUCCCAGCACCCAGCCCCCUCAUCCUGGCACACAAGAGAAGAUGAACUCUUCCAGAAUGAUAUGAUGACAAUUAUCGUGUGAUUGGUUACUGACUGAAAUAUUAUGCUUCCAAACUGAAAAAGGGGCAGAAUCAAAUAACUUACGCUGGAAACUUCUUAUGUUUUCAGCUGAAGUAGAGUGAUGUGUUAAGAGCUCUCCUAUAGAUAUUCCAACUGAACUCAUUCCAAUAUUUGAGUUCCCCAUUCUUGAUCCUGUACCACCAGGUUUCCCUGCUUCCAACUCUGAAGGUCAGUCCACAUAAAUAGUACACUAAAAACGUCGUUGAAGUCAUAUCAUGUACAUGAUCUCAAAAUGUAAAACUCUUAGGAAGUUUCUCAAAUUUUCAAGUUAUCUGUAAAUUCUAACCAUAACAUGAUUACAUCAAUUUACUCCACAGAAGUCCGUAGACCAUUUUAUAGUUACUUCCCAGAAGAGUUGCUGCUAUCCAAAUAUUUGUCAAAAAAAAAGGAGAGGAAAAACUGAGUUUGUAGCCAGAUUUAUCCUUGCAUUAGGCAGGAAGUAGUAUCAAGGAGAUGCUAAUUACUUUCUAUAGAAGCGACUCAUAUCAGAAAUAAAUCAUCUAGUUUAAAGUGGCACACAUGGACAAGGCAUCUAUACGACAACAUACCAGUGUAAUCCCACAAGUUGUCAAUGAAAGCUUUAAAUAAAGCAUGGCUUUGAAAUGGAAAGGUUUGUAAUUAGGACAAAGAGAAGUUGGUGACAAUACCUGAUUUUGACCAUCUUUUAAUAUCUUUCCGUAAAACUUCUCCUGUUCUGGGGUCAGCUGCAUCCGAUUUUGGCAAAUUUAUAUUAUCUUUUUGUAAAACUUCUUGCAUUUUGGGCUCAGCUGUAUCUGACUUUGACAACUUCUUGAUAUCUUUUUGUAAAACUUCUUCUGCUCUGUGAUCAGUUUCCUCUGAUUUUGACGAUUUCUUAGUAUCUUUUUGUAACACUUCUCCUACUCCAUGGUCAGCUGCAUCGGAUUUUGAUAAUUUCUUAGUAUCUCUUUGUGAAUUUUCUCGUACUCCGGGGUCAGCUGCAUUGAGUUUUGAUGACUUCUUAGCAUCUCUUUGUAAAACUUCUCCUACUCUGGGGUCAGCUACAUUGAUUUUUGACAAUUUCUUAAUAUCUAUGUCUAAGACUUCUCCAACUCUGGGAUCAGCUGCAUCUGAUUUUGACAAUCUUUUAAUAUCUUUUCGAGAAACCUCUCCUCGUCUGGCAUCAGCUGCAUCAUGCAUUUUGUAUCUCACUGAAAAUGACAAAGUUUUAAUUAGGAUAUGAGUCUGAUCACUUGGAAUUAGAAAUCUAGGAUAGUUACUAAAUAUAAUGACUAUCAAAGCUGCAUAACCUACAGAUUUCAUAAAGACCAUUGCAUCCAAAUCGACCUGCCCCAUUUAUCAAUAAAGUGGUCAUGUACUUAUCCUUUGUUGUAGUCUGUGAGUUUGUCAAAUUUCCAGUAUCCAUGAGGAUACCUGCCAACUGCACAUAUAAUCAGAUUUAUACAGAGAUUAUACAACAGAAAGACAUUAGAACUUGCAUACACAAUGGUAAAUCAAGAUGUUGGAGUUAGUACCAGAAGUCGACUGAACCAUUGACCCACUAGUAUCUCUGGUGAAGUUAGUACAAACUUAUCAGCAAUAAGAGUGCAGCAUGAUGCCUCCUACAAUUAAUAAGUACAUAUAAAAGGUGUCAAGCGAGCUUAUAAGAACAAUCAUUUGGUUCCUUCCUGAAAAUUUGAUAUGCUUUAACACAUGAACCUUAGACUAACUCAACCACAAAAGCUAGCUCAUGAGAUGACAGUACUUUCUCCAACGUCUGCUAACUCCUGCUAUAAUUUCUCUUCUUAUUCUUAAAUUCAUAGGAGCACAAUGAAGUCGAACUUAGUGCUGCUUAGCAAUAUUAAUCUCUGUUAACUAGUUUAAGAGGAAGCUGACAUUUAUUGGUAUGUUGACUUCCUUUCAUAUUUGUAACAGAUUGAGAAAGAUACCUUCCCAAUGGUUACAGCAGCAACUGAAGAAUAAGGUGUAUCUUCCUGCAUAAACAGAAAGAUUAGAUUAUAGCCUCUCUAUUAAACAGAUUUUAUUACUUGACAUGACACAAGCAUAAUGGAGAUGCAAAAACAAGAAACCAAAAUAAAAGUAGACCUCUCUGCAAUUGAAGAUUUCAACCACUGCAUCCUUUAAUGCCUGAUACAGUAAGCAGUAUGUAAUCAUCAGUUAACUCAUUAAUAGGAAUUCAGCACCCUUAAAAAGAAUGCGUACCUCCUGAUUAGCUGGAAGCUUGCUACAAUUGACUAAAACAAGUUGAAGACUCCCAUAUAAUUCAUAGUAGGACAGGUCAAUCUGUUCAAAUAAUAUCAAGUUAUCAAUUUAAUAAGAAAAAAUUAGUUGAUCAUAUUUAGAGUAUAUUCCAUUCCUGGUUUUCAUUUACUAUGUGGACGUAAUUCUAGAGAAUCUAGACUUAAAUUUCAUUUCCUUUCCUAACUUUAUAUAUAGAAUAGAACAUACCUCAUCAACGAAAAUUAAGGAAGAUUCAUCAACAAAGCAAGAAUCAAGUAGCCAUUUGAGCUCAGCAUGAGAAUGAACAUCCGACCUUUUCAUGUUGAUGACAGGCACAGUGCAUAACUUGUCAUCAUUUAAUGUUUCAUUCAAGUAAAAAGCAUACAUUAUGGUUGAAGCAACAGAUCCAACAUCUGCAUCCAGAUGCAAACAAACUUACAAUUAAGCUCAACCAGUGUAAGACUCAAAUUGUCAGAUGGUCGCAGACACACUUCCCCCUGAAAUUGACUGUUCUCUAAAUUAGGAUUUGUUCCUUCUCUACUGCAGUAGAUGAAUAAUGCCACAGGACUAUAUAAGCUUAUCAAUUCUCUUUUUUGUUGUUGAAUUUGCUUCCAAUCUAUGUACUUCUAGUCCUAUAAAGUGGUACUUAAUGAAAGAGAUAAAUUUAAACAAUUUGCAAAAUCUGGAAAACAGCUAGUGCAACUUUCUCAAAACAUAAAGAUGAACAAUCAGAAAUACUAAUGCAUUUACUAAGCAAUAUCUGUACUAAUAAUGAAGCAAACUUGUAAAAUCAAAUGUGAUAUUACUAGGAUCUACUUCUUCAACUUUAGGCUUAGACCAUUUGUUACUUUGUGUCCAGAAGCCUCUUACUCUGUUGGAUUUUGCACUCAUUUUACUAAGUUUGUGUUUUCAGUUGGAGACAUCCUGGAUCCAGAAUAGUAUUCUUUGCCUAGUAUUUGGAUAAAUUUGUUUUCUACCUUGUUUAAAUAGAAUUGAACAUCAAGAAACUGGUCGUAAUAGAAAUUGUGCAUGAUCCAAGGACUUCCAUCUGAGACAUUGUAACAUGUUAAUACGGAGAUUACUGUUAUUUAGACAAUGAAUGGUUCAUGGAUGUUACCACAGCAGUCCGGUCCAAUCACUGCAUGCAAGAAUUGUGAUGGUACUCCUGCACUAACAUAAUCUCUUCUUGCCUUUAGAAAAAUAUUCAGCCUGUGAAUUCCUUGACAUGAUCCAAGAACUUCCAUCUGCGCUGAAUUUCCACAGUAGAACGAUGCUGCAGAUGGAGGAAGUGGAAUAUCGGAGACAGUUCUACUUUUCUUGGUCACAGUGUAAGAUCUUUCAUAGGCAGGCAAAGUCAAGCCACCAGGUGAGUGGUACUCUACAUCAGAUGAUUUUGGACUAGACUGAACUGAAGACUCAUCUACAUCAUGCAGAUCAAUCUUCAGACCAGUCCGCGGGCUUCUCACUGGAGGGGAAUUCAAUUUGGAUGCUGCUGACCACCUUACAGAUAAUGACCGACCAAGAGAUUCAUGUAUACCUUUUGAAGCUGAAUUAGGAGAGUGUCUAUCAUUAUAAACAUCAUUUUCAGAUAAUUUCACAGUAAUUUUUUUCUGUCCCCUGUUACCAACAUCAGAGGCUGACCUCGUUAUAUCAUUUAUAGUGACUUUUCUAAGGAUGUCUAAACCACUUCCUUUGUUAAUGGCUGUUGUUUCACCUCUUCGCAUUCCAUCGAAAUAAGGGUCAUCUCUGGCACGUACACAUUUUGCCUGAAAGUAUAGCAGAAAUAGGUAAUGUAAGUACUAAUGCAGCUAUCGGAGACCACAGACACACACUUAAUCAGGUACAAAUUCAAUAGAGCACUAAACUUUGUUUUCAUCUAUGCUAGAAGUAAUAUCAUGAACUUUUAUUCUGCCUUAAUAGACUAUAACAUAUUGGGACAAAUGAUGCAGUUUAUGGGAACAAAAUCUAAAGCAUGAGCUCCAAGCUCGAGCCAAUGGCGGAGCCAAACUUUUCAUGAAGGGGGUUCAAAUUAUGAAGAAGUAAAUACACGAAAAAAACCAAGAGGAUUCAACAUCUACCGUACACACAUAAAAUAUAUCAUUUUAACCAGGUAUACAAGUGUAAUUUUCCACCGAAUGAACUCCCUUACACCCACGUGGCUCCGCCCCGGGGGCAGCAUCAUAAUUAUUAGUUCCUCUAUCCCAAUGUAAGUGGCAUAGUUGGAAUUUCAAGAUUCAAACAUCAAAACUUUAAUUUUGAGUUCGAACCUAGAAGAUUCAAGUUUUUGAAAUAAAAUUAAAUAUUUGAAAACUAUGUAAAAACUUCUAUGAAUCACAAUAAUUAAUAAUUGAAAAAACAUUUUGAAAAAUCCGGAAAACUUGUCAUACUCUUGGAAUUUCAAUUUGCGUCACAUAAAUUGGGACAAAGGGAGUAAUUUCUAGAGCAGCCAAUGAGUGAACCAUGAGUUUCAGAUAUCUGUUAGGAAAUCAAAUAGAACAUGUAAAAAGGAGAUUCUAAAAGUACAUGAAAAAGGGUCUAAUAAAAAUUGAACUUUGAGCUACAAAAAUGUUAACUUCUCACUUUCUGAAAUUUCGCCAUUGGAGAAGAGAAAAAUGAUUUUGAGAAAGAAGAGAAAUAGUCUGUCAAAGAUAGGUAGAACCAAAGGCAACCCAAAUUUUAUGAAAAAAGAAUUAGAAUGAGACGGUUAAGAGUAAGAAAAAACAGAAAAUAAAGCCAAAAAUAGCAUCUUUGUGGAGUCCGCCAUUGCAGCUGCUGUUAUCAUACAAGACAGUUGAGCCAAAACAAACAAAUCUUGGACAUUUCGUUUAUUAUAAUCUCUUUAACACAUUCUUGAAUGUUUUCGAAAAUAUUCUUUCUACAUUUACACAUCACCCUACUCGGACCCCAUUACACUGAUUUAUGAAAAUAAUUAAGGUCCAAAGAUAACGUUGGAAUUAUAUGUUAUUUCAUCAAGCCAAUUAGUAAAUUGAUAUGAUAGAAAACUUGCAUAAAAGUUCUAGCUUUUUCACCAAGCUUUCUUUAUAUAGAAUAUACUGAAAACUUGAGAUCUGAUCUUUCUACUUCCAUCAAACCAAAAGCAAAAAAUUGGAUACAAAAACAUGAACCAAUUAUCAAUGAUAAGGAAUAUCAUUGAUGUCAACCAUGUUUCCACAGAGACCUUCUAUUUUUUCUCUAAUACAUAUGUGUCAAUACUUGGAUUGAUGGUUACUGAGAUGGUAAGCCCUCUAUCAAAAUUGUACUUCAUCACAAAAAUCUUUAUCUUCUAUUUCUUGUUUAAUGAAAGUGCUAGGCCUCGUAGCUCCUCGAAAGCUUGCAUAGUUUCUGCAUCAAAUCCUCCUGCAAACUGUAACAAUGGAGAUAAAAACUAAACUAAGAUGACAUUCACAACAAUUCAAUGCAGGUGAAUUACCAAUCUAUUCUUCAUCUGUAGUAAAAUCCUGUUAUUCACAACAAGACAGCAUUUACUAAUAUCAGACAAACCUGAUGAAUCCGGAAAGCAAAUCUCACUCCUUGGAGUAGCAUGUAGUCCAUGGAAGUGUCUUUAUCUAAUGGUCCUUUGGACUGAAGCUCCGCAGCUACCCUCUUCAUGUACACCUUAGCCAACUUCACAGAGCCAAACUUUAUCUGCAUAAUUUCUUUUGAAUUAAGUCCCAAUGCAAAAUGACAACUAGAUAUCAAGAAAAAAGGUACUGUAUUUUUUUGCUCAGUAUUCUGCAGAGGAGGACUUGCACAUAUGCAAGAAUGAAACUGGAAAUAGAUGAGCAAUUUCAAUAUUGAAAUGUUGAGAUACUGAAAAUGGCAUGCCAGGAUGUAACAUAAAGAUAAUGUACAAUCUUGAAACUCAUCAUCUGUCUCAUAUCAAUUUCUCAUAUUAUUCGGAUUCCCUUCUGGUGGUGAACUAUAUAACAUGCAUAAUACAGUUCACUAACUUCAUAAAUAAAAGUUUUUUAGGACAAUUUAACAUGUUAGCAUACUGCUUAGUUGUGUACUUCCAGUUCCGGCUAGUUAUAUCUCAUUAGAUACUCAUUGUAUCAUUCAAGCUCUAUUACCAUUUGAAGAUCUAAAUCAAUAGAUUAUUUUCUACUUGGAACAGUCAGAACUGACCUUGCUUAAUAUCCCAUUAUCAAGCAUCCAGUGUGUGGGGAUUUUGAACUCUUUGCAGUGGCGCAUCAAUGAGUCUCGUGUCCGAAGAAGGUUAUAGACACUACGUUCCAUCCUGCAAUGUGAAGAUUAAAUUUGGACAAUUAGGUGAAAGAUUUAACUUUCUUGGCAGAAAGACAAGGAGGUACCAAAUUAUAACACUACUUUACGACAAAGUAAGAGGUCAUACUUCUCUGACAAAGAAAUCAUCUUCUUUAGUGCAAUAUCACAUGGCGAUCGAGGAUCGUCCUUGUAAGUUGAAACUUCAUUCUCCAACUUCUUGAGAUCUCUAUAUCCAAAUGCUGCCUCCCUUAGUGUAUCUGCUUUUCUCUCUGGCCAGUCAAAGUGCUUUAGUACUGCCCUUUCAUCCACCUUCAGAACAGUGCAGGCGCAAUGAUCAAAAUUAACAGUAAAUUACAGACUGAAGCAUCUAUUUAAUGUGAAAUGAAAUAUAGCAGAUAUAGUUCCUCAACAUUUGGUAAAAUUUCCUGAGAACUGCAUUUUGCUACUAAGAAUUCAAUUGAUAAUAAUUACUGAGCUUAAUGUCAUACCAUUACAAUGAACUAGGAUAGAUGCAUGAUUUUUCUUUGAGUUAUUCUUCAUUUUCAUAUGAAUAAUACCAAAAAUUUUAAAAUGAGACAAUAACAAGCUUUUCGUUGCUGUGACAGUAGAUAAAGGCAUUCUUCUCUAUGCUGAUAUACUUCAUUAGAUAAUUAACACAUUGAACUUACCAGAAAGCAAAGUUCAUCAUCUAGCCAUUUCACAAAAGCAACCACGUCCUCGAUGUCUGAAUAAACUGCAUUAUUGACCUCUGCUAUCAGGGAAAUCACAAAUUCUGCUUGAGUUUCAACAUCUGCCCUUAUCUGGAAGUGGGACAAUAAUAUGCAAUCAGGAAUAAAAUUAAGUCCAGAGACUAAAUGAAAAAAUCUGAAACUUCCUUAUUGCUGGACUAGUAAUCAGAAAGGAAAAUCAGGGAAAUCCAGAUACAGUGGAUAUCUCAAGUCCUUGAGUGCAAUUUAGUUGGUCAUUGAUAUGGUUAGUGUGCCUUAUUGGCAAUAAUAGAAAUGAGAAGACUAGAGAGGAAGAACUUACAGCCAGCAAAUAAGAUGAUCUGUUCUCAAUUUCACCGAUCAUGCUACUACGAACGUCUGAAACACUUGACGCAUCACAUACUCCUCCAUUUAAUGAAUCCUUCCUCGAGUCUCUCUUCAUCAGUGAAUGAUAAAAUUCUACAACCUGAGGAGCUCUCUGUACCAUGCCUGAUGUAGUUUUCGCCAUAAGUUUUGGAGGUGGUGGGGGAGGAGGUGGGGGAGGUGGUGGUGGAGGACCAGGAACUUGAACAGAAUUUUCUCCUUCUUCUUCAAUUAAAGCAACAGAUGAAGGCCUUGGAGGGGGAUUAGGAAUCCGCAAGACACGUUUCUCGACCUCCAAAGGAUUGGUUAAUUUAUGUUGGGAAACAAUAGGCUCAAUCUCCUUUUCCACUUCCUUGGAACACAUAAAGACAUCUGAUUGCCUUCUCUUAUUAAAAAUCAAGUCCUCAACACAAAAUUUUGAUCCACUUAUCGAGUGCCUGCGAGUAGAACUUUGUGUAUCCUCCCAACUAUGAUUAAUGAUAUUGUCCGGGCUCCCUACUUGUUGCAUAUCUUCAUCAGUAAUAGGCCACUUCUUUAGCUUCUUAACGAGGCUUAACCUCCUCGCACUACUACAUUUUGAGUCCUCAUCACUAUGAUCAUAAGACAAGCAAAGUGAUUCCCUACUUUUCUCACUACCAUGAGGGCUAGAAGUCUUAUCACAUGUCAUGGACGAGCAGCUGCGCAACUCUUCUCGCAAACAUGAGUUCACCCACUUCAAGUAGGCAAGCUCCUCAACCUCAUUCAACCUACUCAUUUGAAGACCCUCAACUUGUUUGCAAAGGUUUUCAUUUUCAUAUCUCAACAAAGAAGCCUCUGCUUUAAUGUGCUCAAUUGUAUCUCCCUGAUAAGAAUAAAGUGAAACAAGAUAUAAUCAAGCCAGCCAAUUACCAAUGUUAGACAAAUUCAAUUUUUUUCGAUACGACAACAACAACAACAUACCCAGUGUAACCCCACAAGUGAUACGGGUUGAACCACAUUUUUCAGUAUAUCACUUGAAAACAAUUAGAGAAAACUAUGCAUUUUAGGCAUAUACAGCCAAUUAAUUCAUCAAGGUUAUUCAAAUUCGAGAUAUCAAAACUGGGUUUCCAAGAAAAUGCAAACUGGAUAUUCCUAUCUCAUAUUAGUUCAAUAAGACAAAGUAGUAAAGUAAAUACCUCUGGAACUUUUCCAACAAUGGCUAGCUGGGACUCCAUGGAAGACAGCCUGCAAGAUAUAUCUCUUUUCUGAAGCUGGAGCUCCUUAUUCAAGCGCCUCAACUCCACAACCUCCAUUUCCAAACUAGUCACACUUUUGAAAUCUUCCUUAUUGGAAUUCGUAUCUUGUCUCUCUCGAGCAGCAGUCAAUGAACUUAAUUGAUGAGAAAGGACUGCCUUUUCACAUUCCAUCAACUCAACUUUCUUGGCAAAGCUAUUAAUCUCACUCUUCUUCCGUUCGAGUUCCCUCUCGAGCUCAACCACCUUUGGACUCCUCUUAAAUUCAGAUAAUUCAGCCUGCAAUUUCAUUUCCCUCCCCUUUGAUUCUUGUAGCAAGUUCCUCAAAUGAUCAAUUUCAUUGAAUAGAUCACGCGAACCGGAAGAUUUAGUCCUGUGAAUGUUAACUGUUUGAGGAUGAACUUGAGAGGAAACGACUGAACAAGACAAGUCUCCCAUUAGAGACCUCUUCACCCUUGGCUGCGAAAUCCCAGAAGAGUUCUUCU